ensembl:lncRNA
UGCUGAUCCAGGCAGGAAGUGACAUGGUAAAGAGUCUGAUAUCUAAGCAAGAAAACAGGAAGUUUCUCUUUUUUCCCCUUCCUUCUCCAGCAGCAGGAUGUGAUCCACCAACAAGGAGGGACUCCAAUAAGGCCUCUGAUAAGAUAAGUCUUAUAAAAUAUAUAGAUUUAUGAUAAUUAAGACUGAGCUAGCAGAUGAGAAGUCCUAGUCAUUGGCCAAGCAGCAUUGUACCUAAUACAAAUUUCUGUGUAUUCAUUUGUGUCUAACUCGGGCAGGCGGCUGGCGUAAAGCUCACAUGUGGCGGUGGGGCUCAGGCAGCUUUUGACAGAAAGAUUUAUCGUAACAGUUAUGUAAGGAUUUCAUAUUGCACCAAUUGUUGUGAAGGUAUGAAGUAGACAGAAACAUGGGACUCAGAAUAAAAAAAUGAAAUUCAAAGCUGAUCCACGUCAGGAAUCCAAGACCACAUUAUCGCACUCUGUGAGUAGAGAAUAAAGAUAGUUAAUCUCACACAAAGUAGAACUAAAAGAAAUUGAUCAUUGUUGAAGGCAGUUGUUUAUUCUUCAUUAAAUCAAUGAUUCCUGACUCCUGAACUAAACUGAGUUCAAAUUAGGUUUGGGGCUUUACUUUGUGUUGCAGUUAGGGUUUCUAUUGCUGCCAUGAAACACCAUGACAAAAAAAGCAAGUUGGGGAGGAAAGGGUUUAUUAGGCUUACAUUUCAAUAUUGCUGUUCAUCACUAAAGGGGGGGGGUGUUGAGGCAGGAACUGAUGCUUAGGCCAUGGAGGGAAGCUUCUUACUUCCCAUGGCUUGUUUAGUUGACUUUCUUAUGGAACCCAGGACCAGCAGACAAGGGUUGGCACCACCCACUGUGGGGUAGGUCCUCCCCUAUUGGUCACUAAAUGAGAAAAUGCCUUACAGCUUCUUUCUUUGCCGAUUCUAGCUUGUGUCAAUCUGACACACAAGACCAGCCAGUAAUACUUUGUCUCUCAAUGUUUCAGUCCUCAUAAUAAGAAUAUUAAUAUUACCUAGUUUCCGGCAAUAUGUGGAAUUUUUUUUUUAUAACACUGUCUACCAGUCACAGCAUAAACCAUCUCCAAAAAGUGUUACUGCCCGGGGAACUUGAUCAGGUUUAUUUUCUCUUCUACUUAAGGAAUUAAAAGCAGGAAAAGUCAGGAGCCCAACAUGUAGCCUCGGGGAACCUCUUCAGCAGAGCCAAGAAAAUACAGUAGUGAAGAAAGGCUUCUAUUAGGGGCAAGGAUCACUAGUAAACAUAGCACAAGCAUAGAAAGACCCUCUGAAAGGCAGAGGAAUGACCCAGGAGGCCAGAAACACGGGAUCUCGUUAAGGGCUGGGGUUCUUGAAAUUUCUGAAGGUUUUCUAACCUAUUUAGGUUUGGUUAGUUUGAAUAAAGACAGUAUGACUGGUAAGCACAACUGGGAUAAACAUGUCCAGAUCUGAUCCUGAACUCUAAUGCUGGGCAAUAUCAUAGGAUGGUGGUCCAACAGUUGGAGAAAUAACCUUUACCAGGCCUUUGUUUUAAGCUACCAGGCUUUUGUGUCAGGUCAUGGGAGUGAGGAAGAAGCCAGCCAUCUUGGAAUUUCAACACAGUUACUGCCUAUUCAUGUCCCCUCUUCCUGUCUUCCUAUCAGGGAAUCUGUUUAAUUCCUAGUCCCUCAAUGUAGCAAAUUCUUGAUAAAUAAUAGAUAUUGUUGUUUAAUAUUUGGGUAGUCAGCUUUUAUUGUUAUAAAUAAUAUGUGAUGAUUUGCAGUAGUUAUUUAUGUAUUAUAUAUUAUACAUGCUAUUAUUAAUACUAGACAAUUCCUAAAAUUAAAAUAUUAUGGCUAUAUUUUCAUAGGAUUUUGGUCGUGUUAGAACAAGACAAUAAGACGUAUUAGUUUUUCUUGAAGACGGUUUUUUUCUUUUGUUUUUUUGAGACAGGAUUUUUCUAUGUAACAGCCCUGGCUGUCCUAGAAAUCACUUUGUAGAGCAGGCUGGCCUUGAACUCAUAGAGGUCUGCCUGCCUCUGCCUCCCAAGUUCUGGGAUUAAAGUCAUGCCCCAACUCACCUGUCUAAAAGUGAUUUUUAAAUUAAUUAAUUAAUUAAUUAUUUUAACCUAGGGUUAUAUUUUGUCAACCAUCUUAACUUUAAACUUAUUAUGAAGGCAAGGCUCACAUCAAAUUUGUAAUUCCCCUGUCUCUGUGCCCUGAGUUCAAGAUAGAUAGUGUGCUCACCAUGCCUGACUCAAGAGUCUUAUAGCUUAGGACUAAAUGUAAAAAUUAGUUAAUCAAUUCACCCUCUAAUAAUAAAAUCAGCUUGGUGGAUUAGCUCAAAAAAAAAAAAAACCAAAAAAACAAAAACAGAUUCAGCCGUCCUUGGGAAGAAGAAGAGGCAGAUCUCUGUGAGUUUGAGGUCAUCCUGGUCUGCAAAACCAGUUUCAGGAAAACUCCAAAACAAUACAGGGAAACCCUGUCUGGAAAAACCAGAGGGGAGGGAGAGGAAGAGAGAGAGAGAGGAAGAGAGUGAGAGAGAGAAUGGUCACUGGAGUGGUCAAGAAUUGAAGAACUAAGACACUUGAAUUUUGACAAAGAACCUGUAAAUACAGAGUGAAGAAAAUACAGCAUCUUCAAUGAGUGGUGUUCAUCAAACUAGAUGUCUGUGUGCCCUGUGAAAAACUCAAUUCCACAUGGAUCAGGUUUGUGUAGUCCUCACCCCUCAUUGAAAGUGCUUCUCUGCAACAGAGUGAAACUAUUACAUGAAACCACAACAAACAAAACUGCAGUGUCGUGGAAUCCAGUCACAAAGGCAACAUCUACAAAACAACUGCUUCCACCUGUGGCUCCAGGAACACUUGGAAAGAGGUCAGGAAGCCUGUAAGAGCCAGGGAGUUUUCUAUGAGAUUAUGUUUUCUGUAAUAUUAGAAGCCAUCCUUGUGAAGCCUCACCAGCAUGACUUCCCAGAAGUCAAAUAAAUAAGGGUGACACCAACAGACAUGCCAAAGUGCAUGGGGAAAGACCACAGGCAAUUGAAGAAUGCUCAGAAUGGAAGAAAUAGUGUUUCCAUAAGGAAGACCAUUCCAAAUAGUUAUCAAAUAUCACAUUGUCAUCCCUGAAAAGAUACAUACAAGUAAUAAUUGUACAGACUUUAUAUGUUGUAUUUAGAAAUAUAUACGUACAUUGUAUGUAUGUAUCUAUGUAUAUGUAUAUACAUGCAUGUGUAUAUGCAUGUAUAUGUGUAUAGACGCAUGCAUGUAACAGCUAUUGAAAAUUGAGGCCAGCCAUAAGGUUGAAGGAGAGGGAAAUGUAAGAGUUUGGAAUGAAGAAAGGGAAAAGGAGAAAUAAACUAAUCACAUUAUAAUUUAAAAAUAAUGAAAAUACUAAGAACAAUUUCAAUAUAAUGGUAAACACUUUACAGAAUAUAAGUAAAAUAAAACUAUGCAUCCUAUCUAUGGGAAUUAUAUUUCAAAGACCAUUAGUGACACAUAAAUAUAUAUAUAUUUUUGCAGAUGUUUUUUAUUUGAAUUAGAAACAAGAUUGUUUUACAUGUCAAUUCCAGUUCCCUCUCCCUCCCCUCCUCCCCUACCAACCCCCCAACUAAAACCUUACCUAUCACAUAUCCUUUCUGCUCCCCAGGGACGGUGAGGCCUUCCAUAGGGUGUCAUCAGAGUCUAUUGUAUCCUGUGGGAUAGGGGCUAGGCCCACCCCAGUGUGUCUUGGCUCAGAGAAUAUCCCUCUAUGUGGAAUGGGCUCCCAAAGUCCACACCUAUGCUAGGGAUAACUACUGAACUACUACAGGAUGUCCCGUAGAUUUCCGAGGUUUCCUCACUGAAACUCAUGUUCCUCCACUCUGGAUCAACCCCAUGCUGGUAUCCCAGCUAUCAGUCUGGGGGCCAAGAGCUCCCAUAUGCUCAGAUCAGCUGUUUCUGUGUGUUUCACCAGCCUGGUCUGGACCCCUUUGCUCAUUACCCGUCCUUCUUUGCAACUGGAUUCCCGUUCAGUUCAGUGAUUAGUUGUGGGUGUCUGCUUCUACUUCCACCAGCUGCCUGAUUUCUCUGUGAACCUAAAAUGUCUCCCUCUAAUAUGUUAUCUCCUUUCUUGUUUUCUUCUAUUCUUCCCCUGACUCAACCUUUCUAUAUUAUAUAAUCUUUAGUGAAAGAAGGAUUAUCAAUUACAAGUAUUUGAUCCUGUGUUUAGUUACCACUGCAAUACAUUUGGACUAAUAUUAGAACUUUUAUUCUAUUCUUUUGAACUCUACCAUUUUGUCUCCCUGGCAUCCAGCCAGGGGACAUCUUGGGGCUGUGUCUCCCCACAAUCUUCUACUCAAAGUAAUGAGAUAUUACACCAUCAUACUAAUAUGUUUGAACUUUUCAGAAUUACAUACUAGUAAAUGUUGCCUAACAACCUUAUUUUAUAGUUUUCAGUGAAAUAAUGAAAAGACUAUACAUGAUACUUCAAGUUUCAGAGGAGGGUCUUUGGAGAUGCUUCUGUUUUAAAUAACCCUCUCACAUAACAAAUACUCUAAACUCUGAGUUAAUUGUGAACAUGGGCAUCUCAAAUAACUAACCUGUGGUGAGUCUUUUCCCCAGGUAGGUGGUAGGGGGUGGCAAGGAGGGGAGAUCAGGCAGAUGGAAACUUAGUGAAGAACAACUACAGAAGAUGUCACUGUGGGCCCCCUAUUUUUGUACUGAAUUUUCAAGAGUGGAUGUGAGGACUUGAAAAUAGAUCUUAUGAGCUUCCAAGUGGCAGGGAUACAGGGCCUCUGGUUCUCCCAUCCCUGUGUUUGGCUUUCCAGCUCAUCUGCCAGGUACCUGAUCCAAUGUGUGUAAUGCCUCUAUUAUUUUCAUCACUUCCUGGGGAUAUUUCCUCAGGGUCUAAAGUGUGAUCCACUACCAUGUUGUAUGCUCUGUUUAUUGCAGAGCAAAACGAAGCAUGCCCGGCAGCAUCUGAAAACAAUUAAAAAAUAAUUGAAAUGAGCUGUGGUCUCUACUCGACUCAUUAAGAAUUUUAUUUCAUCUUCCACACAUUGGAGAGAUUCAGAUCUGAACUUCCUAUCCUGCUGGCCCCCCUGCUGGCUCAAGAGUUCCCUUGCCAGGGGCAGAAAAAGGACCAUCAGUUUCUGUACGGAGACUGUUCUCCAAAUGACCAGGCAGGGAAAAGUCUUGAUGGCUGCCAAGAGACUUCAGUGGGAGGAGACAUCUCUCUGCUUGCUGCCUUUGAGCAGCUGCUCUAUGAAUUAAUAAACAUCACUGUGGAUAUGCACACAUUCUUAUUAAGAAUCCACAAACACAUUAAUCAGGCUACAAACAUGCAACUCAGGAAAUUAAAGUUAGCUUUCGAUUGCCUUUCUCCAAGAGAAAGUCAGAGACCCAGUAAGAAUAAGAAAAACCAACUGGCAAAAAGGACAGAGAAGAGAUGGAAAGAUUUUAACACCUUAUAUUAAGAGAGGAGACAAUGGAAAGUUUGGAAAAACUCCAGUAAGACAAUACAAUAAGUUAUUUCAAAAGUUCUUAGUGUCCUUAUUAAUUAACAUAAUGGUUAAAUGCAUUAAAAUAUAUAUUACAACGUCUUUCAUGGUUUUAUAUCAAAAUAUUAGGCAGUAUUUUCUACAAUAUAUAACAGUAUCCCAGGAUUUACUCAUCCCACUUCUGUGAGUGUGUGUGUGUGUGUGUGUGUGUGUGGUGUGUAUGCUCCAGUAUGUGCUCACAAGCACACACACAUGCGCACACCUCGAAAAUUUAGCUGAGAGGUAAUUAUUCUUGAAAGAUAUUUAACAUGAUUUAGUGAUAGGUUUGAGGAAAUGAGAAUAGCUCUCAGCAUGUAGGAUGAUUUAGAUGUGAGCUUGGAAUAAUGUGCAUAUAAGAAAGAUAAAGGUGGUAUUUUAUUAAAGCUAUGGUACUUGUGCGAAAUCAUUCUGUAGACGGCACUGUGCAUUUGCAUUCUUCAUAGAAAAGAGACUGGCAAGCUUCAAAGUACAAUUGACCUUUCAAUUUUCUCUAUUUCAGAACGAUCUGAUUACCCCUAGGCUCAUCCUAAAAUGUUCUUACCCUGUCAACUGCAGAACAUUGAUAUCAUUGUUGGUUCUUAGAAACCAUGCUGAUGGAGCUAGGAGAGUUACAAUCCCCUUAGUUUUUUCUAAAAUUUUUGUAUGUUAAUUCAGUGCACAGAAAGCAAAUUUUUCUUAUGUAACAAUCCUUUAAUUUUAUGUAAAUUUUCUUUUUUCUCAUUUUUUUAAAUUUUAAACAAUCUUCUCUCAUUUUUACAUAGCAAUUCCAGUUCCCACUCCCUUCCCUCCUCCUAGUUCCUCCACCUUCCCCCCUCCCCACCCCCAUUCUCUCUUCAGAGAGAGUAAGGCUUCCCUUAGGGAGUCAAAAAAUCUGGCACAUCGUUUUGAGGCAGGACCAAGGCUGUCUCACUUAUAUCUAGGCUGAGCAAGGUAUCCCUCCAAAGAGAAUGGGCUCCAAAAAGUAAGUUCAAGCACUAGGGAUAAAUCCUGGUCUUCAAGGAUUUCUAUGAGUCUUUGAAUUAGAAAAUGCCACAUCCUUUACUUCAUUGUCUUUUUCUUUUCUUUUUUUGAGACAUUCUCUCUACAUUGUCUGUCCUGGAACUUACUAUGUAGAAUAGGGUGGCUUCGAACUCACAGAGAUGUAGUUAUAUUUAGCUUUUACAAAUAAAAGCCUAUCUGAAUGUCAGGGAAAGGUGCUUGCCACUAGCUAACCACAGACCUCCAGACCAUUAUGGUUAGCUAGUGGAAAGCUCCAUUCUCUGAACUUCAAACAGCCUUUAUUUGUAUAAUCAAAAUAUCACCAGAGAUCUGCAUGUCUCUGUCUCCUGAGGAAGGAAACUUUUUUCUCUUCUUCUAGACCUAAUGUUUAUGUCCAUUGUAUCCAGCACUCAGUAAAUACUAUGUGUCAGUAACAACUCUUAGUAGUUUAUGCAUACUUCCUAAUAUAACCAAGUAAGCUGUGAAGUAGGUUAGCAUUAUAAUUUUGAUAUUUUAAGAGAAAAGUACAAUUAAGUAAUAAUGGAAUAACUUGUUUUAGCAAGAACUGAAGGCGUAAGAAGGACUCAGACCCUAAUGGCCCAAGCCGUAUAUCUGUUUUGUUAGUCAUAAUACCUACUGCUGAAGUGUGUCCUAUACAUUCAUUAUGAGUCAGUUUUAUGUGCCCUGUCCAGGAGAAGAGAGAUCAUUUUCAUACUCAAAAAGUUAAGCAUUCAAAAAGAUAAAUAUCAGCAACCCAGAGAAUGAGGAUUAGCUGUAAAGGAUUAGAUUUAAUACAUUAUUAGUAAACUUAAUAGUUCGCAGUUUAACUUCUAGUUGUGUCAUUCCUCUGCCUUCUAGGCCUCUAGCCAAUACUAAUUUCCAUGUCUGCAUGAGACAGCAACCCCCUACCGAGGGAGCUUGAAAUGAUUUUGUGAUGAGUAUGGCUCCUCCAUUGUAUUCCUUGCAUGACAAAUUUCACUUUUAAAUUGUUCAGAGAUUAGAAGAAAACAGCAACCAAGUCUGUAUAAAAAGAAUAUAAAGCAAAAAUUAUUACGUUUUCCUAAAGGUUUUUUUUAAGGAAUUUUUUAUAACUAUCUUCUUCUUACUAUGUAACACAGAUGUCUCACUAACAGUUACAGUCCCUUUAAAUUCCACUUAUGUGAAAAGGACUCCUGCUGUCACUUGCAAAACAAAACAAUACAAAACAAACAAAACAGGGUUCUUAAAUGUAAGAAGAAAUACUGCAAUAAGUUACCAGGCCUAUGGUAAUCUAUUUUUAUGACAUGAACUUUUUCAGACAAAAAGACAACUGAAAAAUACCUGUGAAUAAAUGAUUACUUGUUUUGAAGAAUCUGAUAUGGACAUUAAAUUAUAAAUGUACAUAUGUGCAUAUAGCUACAUAUUUUUGCAUAGAAAAGCAGAUACAUAUAUGCACACUCACAUAAGCACUCAUCCUUUGGCAGAGUUUGUGAUACUUAUGAAAAUGACUAAAAUAGCCAAGGUUCUAUAUUAUGUCUGUAUGACAACCUACAGGGGGAAAAAGAGACACUGAAUUCACAUUCUAAAUCAAGCAUUUUAAAAAAGCUUUCAUUUUUGACACAUUAUUAUGAUUUCCCUCUCAGCAGUUCCCUGCCUCUGUGCUGACCCAACUUGAAUCUCUCUCUUCCUCUCUCCCUCUCCCCCUCUCUUUCUCCCAAACAUACAACUCCAGAGAGCCCUCUCAUACUUCCUUCCAAACCCAGCUUCCUUCCUUGGUGACAGCUAUUGGUCCUCAACAGCACUUUCUACCAGGGACCCCUAGAGAUGUCCAAUAGCUGGGACAGAGGUAAGGGCUUCUCAGUGUUCUUCCUGCUCUCUCUUAUGCAUAGAUUUACCCUCAGUCCUUAGCAGCAAUGUGCUUGCAGGAGCUUCUCCUUCAGGCCCAACUCCAUUCACUGGGAACUCCUCUCCUGGUGCAGAAUGCAGUAGACAUAGCCCUUUUAUUCCUAUCGCUCCAUAAUAUUGUUUAUCUUACUGCAGCCUGCUUGCAGGAACUGUCAUCCUACCACACCUAUCCUCCCUAUAUACUCUGGCUCCUUCUGUGACAAGAUCCACUACCUCUUUCUUACAGCCCUUCUCAGCCUUUCCUGUAAGACCAUCUCCAUCUCUUUCUACCACUCACAAAUCAGCAGAAGCACUCUCCAGCAGUAAUUCCAAAGCCCAAAGCCACCACAUUUGCCUAGCAUCCAGAGAUGGUUAAAAAAAAAAAACCAAGGCAGUAGCACACUUAUCCAAAAUAUUCAAAACCACUUAUCACCACCAAGAAAAGCCUCAAACAUCAUAAUUUCAUAACUCCAGAACCUUAGACCUCAGCAAACAAAGAAACAAACAAAGACAAGAACAACAAACAAACAAGCUUGAAUAGGCAAAACAAUACACUUUCAUUCUACCAAAUCCCAGGCAAAGUUGUGAGAAAUGCAAUAUAGCUGAAGCACAAGUCAAAGAUUGUCUUUUCCCACCACAAUUGAACUGCCUGUGUACCCCACAUUUAGGUGGGAACAGGAUCCCCUUAGUUCUUACCCAAAGCCUCUCUCUACUAUGUUUCCUAGCUCAACUCUGUUCCUUUCUGAUAUCCAAAGAUCACCAAGUGGAUAAAAGCCCUCAACAUAAAACCUGAUACACUGAACCUGUUAGAAGAGAUAUUGGUAAUAGCCAUGAACUCAUAGACACACAAAAAAAUCUUUCUAAACCUAAUGUAGUUAGUGCAGGGACUAAGAUCAAUAGCUAAUAAUUGAGACCUCGUAGCACUAAAAAGCUUCAUCACAGCAAAGAACACUGUCAUUCAGACAAAUCAGUACCCAACAGAAUUGGAAAAUAUUUUUCCCAAUCCUGCAUCCAAUAGAGGAACAAUAUUCAAAAUAUAUAAGUAACUGAAUAAACUAGAUAUAAAAAAAAACAACAAAUUAUCCAACCAAGGGUUACAGAUCUCAACAGAGAAUUCACAAUAGAGGAAUCUCAAAUGUUGAACAUCCUUAAUCAUCAGAGAAAUUCAAUCAAAACUACUUUGAGGUUCUAUCUUACAUCUGUCAAAAUGGCUAAGAUUAAUAACACAAGUGACCGCUCAUGCUGGUAAGGAUGUCGAGCAGGAGGAGCACUCCUCCAUUGCUGCUGGGAAUACAAACUUGUACACCCACUAUGGAAAUCAAUAUGGUAGUUUGCUCAUGAAGUUGGGACCCAGCUAUACCACUCUUGGAUAUAUAGUAAAAGGAUGCUCUAUACCAUCACAAUCAACUUGUCUCCCAAUAGAAGAGUGGACAAACUUAAUUUUGUUCAUUGAACAAUGAAAUAUUAUGCAGUUGUUAAAAAUGACAUCAUGAAAUUUGUAGGCAAAUGGAUGAAACUAGAAACAAUCAUGUGAGUCAGGUAAAACAGACCCAGAAAGACAAAAAUGAUAUGUAUUAACUUACGAGUAGACAUUAGCUAUUAAAUAAAUAACCAAGCUACAAUCUGUAGACCCAAGAGUUUAGAUAAAGUGGAAAGUUAUGGAGGGGGACAUGGAUCUCCCUGGCAAGGGAAAACAGAAUAUACUUUAAAGGUGGGUUUGGUGUGGGUGGGGACGGGAGCAGCAGCAGGAGCAGGAGGGCUAAGUUGGGGGUUGGGGAUGAUAAAAUGGAGGGAGACAGUGUGGGGAAAGAUACUUGUAAAUGGUGUGUGGUGCGUGGCAUUUGGGGAGUGGUGUGGAAACCUAGUGCAGUGGAAACAUCCUGGAGGGUGAUCCUAAUGAGUGAUCACAGUAAUGAGGGUUACAGAGUCUCAGCUGGCCAGCUCAAGGGCGUUUGUUGCAUUCAGUUGAGCUGUUGGCCAAGGGGAUUCUGUAGAGAUCUCCAACAACCCAGACUGAUGUUAAUACAAAAGGUUGUUUUCAGUAAACUGACUGUGGGGCCACAUUGCAGAGGACAAAAUCCACAAAAUUUAUUGAACAUGGAGAAGUCGAGCUCCAUUAUGGUCUCUGGUGCAGACAGGUUUUAUGGUCUCUGUAGGCUAUCAAAAGAUAAAAAUGGAUACCAACCACAGCACAAAACCUUUGAACUAACAUCUGUCCCGCCUGCAAAUUAUGCUAGAGUGAUGGUAGCAGAGAACUUGUGGGAGUAGCCAACCAAUGUCUGAUUUGACUUAGGGCCCAGUCCAUGAGAAGGAACUCAUACCUGACACCACUUAGGUAACCAAAAACCAGAGACUAGAUAGUGCAGAGACCUAGAGUAAAAUCAAAUAUGACUGGUCUUAAAAUAAUGAAUCUUUGUAAUGACAUUCUGUUAUACUCAAAAAUCAGUGUCUUAUCCAGUCAUCAUCAGAGAGGUUUUAGAGUGGAUUUUGUUUGUGUUUCUUGUUUCUUUCAUUAUUUUUUGUUUGUUUUUAAAAUCAAGAGCAAGAAAGGGUGUGCUUAUUGGUUGAGGAUGUAGGGAGGAUCUGGGAGGAGGUGGGGGAAAAGAAAGCAUGAUCCAUACAUAAUGUAUAUAUUUUAAAAAUAUAAAGUAAAUAAUGUGAGAAAAGAAAUAAAAGCCUACAAAGAGCACACAAACGCAUACACACUCACAUAUACAAGCACUAAAAAAAAUGCCAGAAACCAAAAAUAAAAAAAUUAACGAGAAAUAAAGUAAGACGAAAAUAUCAAAACAAAGAAAUCCCACAAAAAUAGGGUUUGUUUUUGUUGGCCCGUUCUUGAACAUGGGAUCUAACCAGAGUAUGACUGACAGAACCACUGACACAUCAUUGAAGAUAAUUUUCCUUUUUCCUAAAGGCACUAACUGAAAAUAGCUUUUAUUUUAGGGGUUGUAUUUUGUGUCCAAGUAACAUUUUUUUUGGUUGGGAUUUUGUCUAGUUUGAAGCUAUAUUUGUCUUGGUUAUACUGUCAUAGUUCUGUCACUCUGUGAGUUUCUAUUUGUAUAAGUCCUAUUGUACUAUAAAAUACUAUUUCCUAGGAGUCAUCCAAAGCUUUGGCUCUGCUUUUUAUUUUGUUUUGUUGUUUUGUUUUUUUUUUAUUGUUGUAUUGUUUCUCUGCAUAAUCCUGGCUGUUCUGGAACUUACUUUCUACCUACCUCUGCUUCCCAAGCACUGGGAUUACAGGUCUGUGCCACCAUUACCAGGACCACUUUUGGCUCUUACAAUCUUUCUGCUGACUCUUCUGCAUAAAUACUUGAGAGGAGGGGCUUUAUGAGAACAUGCUAUUUAGGAACAGUAGACAGGAAUAAAAUGUGUUCAGAAUUGACAUUUUCUAUAAUUUGAUUUGUUUUCAUUAAUCCAAUUAAUAUUAGCAAAUACUUUCAAUAUGGGUGAUGGAUGCUAUUGAUGCAACAAAAAUUCUCAUAAAAAUGAAGGAGGGUGAAUGGUAGAUAAUGGCACAUACUCAUUAAUUUUUAUGUGUAAAAUAAUAUUUAAACUUUCUAUAUUUGAGAUUUUGCUCUUCAAAUUCAUUAUAGGAAAUACUUGUCAGAGAUUUAUAUGGCCCGAGACAAAUUCCUUUUCUAUUUCUGUUUUGAUUAUUUAGUAGGAGAUCUCAUUUCUAUGAUGAUGAAUGUAUUUAAGUUUGAAAAGUUUAGUAACCUAGCAACUAUUUUGCAGUGUUCUUAACACACUUUCCUUCAGAAAUCAUUAUUUUGUAAGAAUGUCUGAGUAAUAUAUUUUGGACAUUAUAUACUAACUUUAUUUCAUGCAGACAUGUUGAACAUUGAGACAGUUGACUGCAUUUGAAGUUUCUUUUGGUUUUUCUUUCAGAAUUUUCAUGAUAUUGCAAAUAUCUACAUUAACUUCAAAGACUCUUAUGCUCACAAAUUAACACAUGAAUUGCAUUUUAAAACCUGCUCAGUUAACAUGAUACAUUAUUACUAGUCAUACCAGUUUCAAGGAUACACUUUAGUUAACUGAACUUAUGACUUUAAAUCAUUUCUUCUUUGACUUUUUACUUCCUAGUUCUUAGACCAUUCACUUUAGAAACUGUGAAGUUAUAAGUUGUUUGGGUGUUACUUUAAGGCACAACUUUUCUAACAUCUGAGCCUUUUAUUCUGUAUCAUUGAUCUAAAUGAUUGCUUUUAUGCCAAUACCAUGCUUCCUUUUUCACUAGAGCUCUUUAGUAUAGCUUGAGAUCUAGAAAUAAGCCCUUACAACUAUAGCCAUCUAAUUUUUGACAAAGGCAUGAAAAAACCUUUAAAAAAAGACAGUCUAUUCAACACAUGGUACUGGCAAAACUGGUUAUCUACCUACAAAAGAAUAAAAUUACAUCCACUUUUCUCAACUGGAACAUAAAUAAAUUCAAAGUGCAUCAAAUACCUUAAUUUAAAACUUAAACGUUCAACAUUCUAGAAGAAAAUGUAAAUGAAAUGCUUUAAAUUAUGAGUGUAGGUAGAAAUUUUCUCAAAAUGAUUCCAAUAGUACAUGAAGUAGUACUCAAAAUCAACUGGUUAGACUGCAUGAAAUUAAAAAGUUUCUACCAGAAUAAGCAUACCAUCAGGAGGGAACAUAGACAGUCUACAGAAUGUGAGAAAAUAUUUGGCAAUUAUACUUCACACAGGGGAUUGCUAUCUGGAAUAUGUUUUUAAAAUAAUAGAAAAAUUAACCCCCCAUAUCUAAUACCAUCAAUAAAUUAAUAGCCUAAAGAAAUGAAGAGAGUUUUUAAAGAAGAAGCAUAAAUAUCCAAUACAUGCUUUUCAAAGUAUUCUGCAUUUUUAGCAGAUUAAAUGCAGAUUAAAACCUCUUGAGAUUCCAUCUUACCUAAGUAAGAAUAGUGAUGUUCAAGAAAAUAAAGGAUAAUAGUGCUGAUGAUGAUGUAGGAAAAGAGGAAGGAAUCCUUAUCUCCGGCUGGAGAGUGUACAAAGUAAUAAAACCAUUAUAGAUAAAAGAAUGGAUUUCUCUCAAAAAAGAAAAAUAGACUCAACAUAUUACCUCACUGUACCACUUCUAGGCUCUAGGAUGCUUUAGUUAGGGGUUUCUAUCAAUGUGACUGAACACUACGACUAAAAGCAACUUGGGAGUGAAUGGUUUAUUUUUCUUACACUUUCAUAUCACAGUCCACCAUUGACAGAAUUUGAGGCAAGAAUUCAAGGCAGGAACCCGAAGAAGGAACAGAAACAGAGAUCCAUGAUGGAAGGGGACUUGCUGGCUUCUACCUUGCUGCUUUAUUAGCUUGCUUUUUUGUACAACACAGCACCUCCUUUCAAAAGGUGGCACCACCUACAGUGAGCUAGCUAGUGUCUCCAAUAGAUCACUAAUAAAGAAAACUUUUCUCAAAGGCUGAGACACAAGCAAGUCAGGUGGCUGAAUUUUUCUCAAAUGAGAUUCUCUUUAUGCAACUGAUUCUGGCUUAAGUUGACAACAAGCAAAGCAAAACAAAACAAAACAAAACAAAACAAAAAACUAAUCAGGAAAAUCGACUCCACAUAACUUGACACAUCAGUAUAAAACAUUAUAUUAAACCAUAACCUUUAUUUUCUGGUUUAUCCAUGAAAUUUCACAUUUUUCUCAAAGACCUCAAUAUAAAACACAUCACAACUUUUAAAACCAGAGUGUUAAAACUUCAAACAUUAUGAAAGCUCAGUCUCUUCACAACACUCAAAGUUCCCUCAGAAGAACAAAACUCCGCGGAAGGACCUACAAUCUCUCUGAAAUACCAGCCUGUUAAAAUUACAAAAUUUCUUAAUGAUAGACUCCUGCAUUUUUUUCAAUAAAUAUUUUCUCUUCCAGGAGAGAAGAAACUGGACUAAAUUAUACUCAAACUGAAGUCCAGUAAACGUUAGAAAUCUGAGACUCACUUGUCUUCUGGGCUCCAAAGCCCGAGGCAGCCCUCCUUCCCUGCCUCUGUCAUCCACAGCACAUGCAGAUACUCUCAGGCCACCACCUCUCCACACCUGCCGCUGCUGUCCCUUGUGCCCAUCCCAUACCACUGGAAUCCCCAAAAUGUUGGAACUUGUGCUGCAAAUGGGCUGCACCAUCUCCAAAAGCCUCUCCUGAGAGCUGUAUAGAGACCCUGACCUUGGCCCAUGGUAACAAUCUUCAUCUUCUCUCUAUUACUCCUUCAAUCCUGGGGCUUUGACAUAACUGAUGCUGUACCUUUAACAAUGGGCUUUCCUGGUAUCUCAAAGUGCCAAGCAUCAGCUACUUUUCAUGACCCCUUCAUGCCUUCAAAAACCAGUGCCACCUGAGAAACUUACCUGCUAUCAAAUUCCAUUGCCAGAACAAGGUGUAGCUUUUGUAUCCUCUGGACCACAGCAUCUGUGGUUUGAUCCUGAGGAAACGCUUCCUGGAAGAUUUCACGCCAAUGAUGCUGGUCUGUUCUUAAUCACAGCUCAUACUUCAGCUUCAGCAGAUGUCCCAACACAGCCACCAUCUCACUUUGAUAAUUCUGGUCUCCUGUUAAUUUCAACUGAUUCUUCAGCACCAGGUGACCACAGACUCUUAAUUUGAAAUAUCAAAUGGUUAUGCUGGAGGAGUCCUUAAAGAAUUCUCAGAACUUCCUUUUAAAACUUCACAAGCUAGGACUCCCCUCAUCAGCAGCAUUGACAGUACUCUCAGAAUUAUCUUCUCAGUUUCCGUAAUUGCUUAUUAGACUCUGUACACUCAUUGGCUUUUCCAGGUCACAUUUUCAAAGUCCUUCCUGACUCCUCCAGUGCAAGGUUGUCAGACCUGUCACAGAAUUCUCCCACAAACCUGGUACAAAUUACCAUAUUCAGGUUUCUAUUGCUGUGAUAAAAUAUUCUGUCCAAAGUCACUUGGGGAGGAAAGGAUACAUUUCCUCUUACAAAUCCCAGGUUAUAUCAUACCACCACUGAGUGAAGUCAAGAGCAAGAACUCUAUGCUAAAACCUGGAGACAGAACCUGAAGUGGAAGACAUGGAGGAAUUCUGCUGAUCAGCUUGUUUGACCUGCUUUUUUACAUAACCCAGGACCACCUACCCAGAAGGAGGCAAUACCUACAGUGGAUGGACCCUCCCACAUCAAUCAUUAAUCAAGAAAACAUCUCACUGAUUUGUCCAUAAGCCAAUCUUAUGGACUCAUUUUUUAACACAACUAAUAAAAGACCCAGACACAGGUAUUGGGGUUCAAGCAUCAAAAUGAAGAUCACAGAAGAAAAGCAGCCAAGACAGUAGCACUUACCUCAGGCUGAAAGGACUGAUCCUGUCUCAAUGAGCUCUCCACCAAGCCUCAGAUUGCUGCCUCUUCUCAGUGUGGUGGAGAAUGAAUGCUUUCCUCUCCUCAAUAUGACUGGAGAAUGACUGCCAGCUCUGAGCUCCUGUUCCUGUCUUAAAUGCCUUUCAUGAAUGCUGGGAUUAAAGGCAUGAACUCUGUUACUCUUUUAGGCUGAUUCAACCUCAUAUAGCCCUGUGUGGCCUUGAACUCAGAGAUAUCCAUCUGCCUUUGUCUCAGGAGUCCUGGCAUUAAAGCUGUGUGCUACACCUGCCUGGCUUUUAUGGCUUACUAGUAUGGCUGCUUUACUAUUUUGAUCACUACUGGCUUUAAUAAAUCAUAAACAAUGUAUUCCCACACAUUUUCUCAAUUAUGAUUCUCUCUGCCCAGACAUGUCAAGGUUUGUGUUAAUUAAAACCAAUCAGGAAAUGGACCUUUGCACAAACAGUUCUACAUUCUACCACAGAGACAUUUGCACUUCCGUGAUUACUGCAGCAUUGUUUCAACAGCAAGGGACACAAACAGUUUAUAGACACUCAGCAACACAUGGAUGGAUAAUGAAAUGUCCCGCAUAUACACAACAGAAUAUUAUCCAUGUAUAAAGAAAAAUAAAAUGAUAUUUAGUGGAAGAUAGGUGAAUCUUGGAAGUAUUAAAUCAAGUGUUAUGAACCAGAGUCUAAAAAACAAACAUAAUAUGUUGUCUAAUUUUUAGCAAAUUAUGUAUAUGAAUGAGGUGAUUUGAAAGUAUUAAUGAGGGAAACAGAAGGAGAUGAGAGGUGCUGAAGAGGGAGAAUACAAAAGGACACUUGUGACAUGGAACUGGAAAUGCAACUGGGGGUGGCAGAGCACAAUGGUUAUAGGAGAUAUGUCAGAAAAGCGGAAAGAACAAUUAACAAUUUUCAAAAAUCUGCCAAAAUGAAAUGUAUGUUAGUAAAAACAAAUUAAAAAUGAAAAAAGUAUUUUAUUUUUCCUUGUCACUUUCACAACCCAGGAAUUUUUGUCUAAAGUACAUUUAAGCCAUUCCUUUGAGUAGAAAUUGCCAAAGAAAAUAAACCAAUGAGAUGACAGGAGCUGAACUUCAACAGUACCAAUUAACAAACACAAAUGAGCAAAUCAUAUUGACCACCUUCCAAUGCUGCAGUAAGAAUUAGAUAUCAGAACUCUGGCCUAUUUCUGUAAGGGGGGGGGUGAGUUGAAUCUUUCCUACAUAUUGAAAUCAACUGAAAUGGUUUUCUUCCCUCCUUAGAUUAUCUUAAUUUUUCUUUAGCAUUACCAUGUUUUGUUUUUUGUGAUAGUAAAUAAUCACAGGGAGAUGUGUACUUUACUUUCAAAUGGUGUACAAAGAAAUAGCCCCAGGGACAUUUUCUGAGUAAAAUUUGUAAAUAGUGUUUACUAUGUAAAGACAAAAUUAUAAUAAGCAUUUUAUGUGUAUAUUAAAAUGAUAUUAUGAAUUGAAUAUAAUAGAAACAAGUCAUUAAACCUAAAGGAUAGUAUUUAUGCAUUUGAUAUAGAUUCAAUUUUAAUUGAAACCAGUAUCUGCAAUAUGUAUUUACAUUCACAUAGUUAUGUGUUGUACAUUAACAAUUAAAUAUAGAUUAGGCAUCACUAGAAAUAUGAUAUCAUUUUGUUAUUUGAAAUUUAUUUUUAAAAAUUUUAAUUUAAAUUUUUAAAAUUUUAAGUUAUUAAGAUAGAACUUUAAAUUCUAAAAACAUUUAAAAUUGAAACUGUAAAAUGGCUCAGUGAGUAAAGGCACGUGCCUUGAAAUACUGGUGACAAGACUGGUGAUCCCCAGAAUUAUGUACAUGUCCUCUGACUUCCACAUAUGUACACACACACAUACACACACACACACACACACACACACACACACACACACACACACACACACGUUGGUUUAAAAGGUUCAAUUUAUUCAAAAAUACAUUUGAAUCUUCAUUUUUUUUAACUGUCAUAAUAGGGUCUAUUUAGUUCAGGUGUCUCUAGGUGCCUUUUGGGUAUGCUGAUGGUUUUCUUUCUUCUAAAUUCCCUCUGGAUAGACCUUAGCCCUCUUGAUAGAAAAUAAACAAAACAAAAACAUGGGUAGUUAAGCCUGUUCAGUAGCUUUUUAAAACAGCACAUGAUUCAUUUUUAAUUCAUUUUAAUUGUUCUUUGUUUUUAUUUAUUUUACUUAGAUAUUUUUAAAGUAAAAAUAUUAAUUUUUCUGUAUGUGUACUUUGGCUUUAUAUAAGCCUGUGUGUCACUUGCAUGUCUGGUACCCAUGGAGGCCAUAAAAGGGUGUUGAACCCCCUGAGACUGGAGUUAGAGACAGCUGUGAGCCUCCAGGCAGAAGUUAGCCAUUGAAUCCAGGUCUUCUGGAACAGCAGCCAUUGCUCUAAACCACUGAACCAUCUUUCCAGUGAAGCCUGCUCAGUUUUAUAGUCAGUACAACAGCUUGCCAACAUUAGCUUUUCUUGCAAAUUUCUACUAAACUUGUAGUAAGGAUGUGAACUAAUGUACGGUCCCUAAGCUGUACAGUGAAUAUACUCUAUGAGAGAUCAGUCUUUGCCAAUUUUUUUAAUAUGAAAAAGUUCCUUCAAAUAGUUUACACUUCUCCAAGUCUGACCUCAUUUGUAUAAUUAUCAAGCUGGAAAACUGAGAUGUUAUCCCAGGAAGAGUAAUUUAUCACUCAAAUGACUUUCACUACAUAUAAUUUAUAUAAAAAUGUAUGUGGGAAAAUAUAUAUUUGGGAAUAAGACAUUAAAACAGACGGUGGAAAUAAAUGUUUGAGUUGUAAAGUGGAAGACUGUUUCUAUUAUCUUUUGGCCUAGGAGCAUAUAGAUAUUCAAAAGCAGGAACUUUUCUUCUCAUUUCUUCAUUUGCUGGUUUAGAUGUUCCAUUACAGUACGUUAAGAAUGUACUAAAGCCAUAAACCCUGCAGGAGAUUAUCACAAGGCCACAUGGCUGCCAAAAUAGAGUGCUUCCUGCUUUGCAACACAGCAUCCACACAUGCAGGAGAGCAAAGCAAUGAUUCACUAAGAAUAAAAAAAGCCAUGUGCAUUAUCAUAUUAUUGAGUUGCCUGUAUUUUUUUUCUAUUUUGCUAAAAAGAAAAAAAGAUAAACAGGGUUGAAAAAUACAUGAACUUGUGCAUUAGGGAGAAAAAAGUGCCUCUUGCCAAAUUAGAAAUAUACAGCUGUACAAGUGGUUCGAAAUUCUAAGAAAAUACAUGAAAGACUAUUUGCAUAAUAGAAUGUUUUCUUAACAUAAAGCCAUUUCAUAUAAUUGCUUUAAUAAAUUCUAUAUAUCACUGAAGUUUUUAAGUUAUUUUCAUCUGUUUGUUUGUUUACACAAAUAAAGAUUAAACCCAGAACUUAGUGAAGGCUAGGCAUAUACUACUAUUGAGGAACAUACUCAGCUCCAAAAUUUUUAAACAGUUAAUAGUUUUAAUCAAAUUAGCAGAUUUCAUAGCAAAUGAUUAACUUCUUCCAAACAAUUGCAACACUUUCUUUACUCCUAGUGGUUGAGAGACAACCUUUAUAGCAGAUAAUUACUUUAAAAUCAUACAUCUAACUUAAAAUGAAUCCUAAAUGCCAUGUUUUCUUUGGCUGUGAUACUUGACCAGCAUAGAUCCUCUGUGAUUUGCACUUCCAUUUAGUAGUGAAAGGGUAUAAUUUGGCUGUGCCGUAGAGUUGACUUGGGAAGUAGCAGAGUCAUUCAGCUCCCUUCAGCAAAUUUGUGCAGUUAGGGCUGCUGAAGUCAUGGAUGUUGAUGAUCUUUUCUGACCUAGGACCUCUGAGUAAUAUAUAUUAAGUGUUGUUGAAUAUUCAACAUUGUCUCAUAUCAUGACUCAAGAACUAUCUACCUGGUUAAAUCAAGAUAACACAGAGAAUGACUUGUUUGUUCUUGCUUCUUGCCUAACUAGCUGUGGGUGGAUGCUACUUAUUUUUAUUUUUAUUUUUUUAGUUUGACUUGAUAACUUGGUUUUUCUUUCAAAAUCCUUUGAAGUUUUAAACACAAGGAUGCCACUAGGGCUGUAGUAAUGAAAUCAGUCUAUCUUUCUGAACAAUCUGUCUAACCAGAUCAACAAAUGAAAUUCUUUUGAACUGGAUGGCAUAGUACGUUUUUCUGGACCAUCACAUAAUACCAGAGUACACACUUAGAGGAGCUAUAAUUAAACCUUCAUUGGGUAUUUUUGCUGGGGAAAAAAAGAUAAAAUUAAUUUCACUACAGGAACAUUUCCUUUUCAAGUCUGAUAGAUUGAGGACCUGUAACAAGAAACUAUGAAAACAUAGUUCAACUUCUCCUGAUGCUCACCAUUAAUGAUGUUAGAAUUUUGAGAUAUUUAUUGGAAAAUAGAUUUAGGAUGUUGGAAUACGUUAUCUGUUAAAAGGAACUAAAUUACUAUGUAUGAAAUAAGCCUAACUUCCUCUUGAUGAAACUUAAUGAAAGCCCUGUUUAAUUUUCUAUUCUGGUCUUUGUCAACAGUAACAAUGGGCAUUGAUUAACACUGUUCUAUAUACACACUUUGAAAAGCCAACAUUGCUUUGCUUAAAUGAGCAACAGUAACUACCCAAUAAUAGGUAUUAGUGGAGAGGGCAUACCUUGCCAAUUGUGUCAAAAAUAAUAAAGAUUAUGAAUACACAGUCUAAAUACUUAUUAGCUGAAAAUGAAAAAGAUAUGGUUAUCAGGGAAACUGGAUUUUUUAUGACUGUUGGUCAGGAAAACCAAUAUGGAGCUUACUGUUUCCUAUAAAGUUUCAAUGUUGCAUUAGAGCUUGUGGAAAGGGCAGAGUGAAUGAACUUAGUGUGUGUACAGCCUUCUGCUAUGAGGAACUGCUGGAUCCAUUUCCCUGUGGGAAAGGAAGGCUUACACUGGUGACCAUGUGUACUCACCCAAUCUGAAAUACAGACCUACUCUCAAAGUUCUCAGAGUGGGUUUUUAAAAUGUCCACGUGAUUCUGUCCAAUGUUAGUUUGAUUGGGUCUUUUCUAUUACCUCAAGUAAUUUAAAUGCAGGAAUAAGACAAAAAAGCCUGAAUUUUUUGACAUUUUGAAGAAAUGACAAUGAUUGAGAUUAGAUACCUCUCCCUCGGUGUUUUGAAGGUGCUGUUGAAAAGUGGCAUUGCUAACCUAGGCUUUACCCUUUGCCAAGAAACAUGCAGGACCAAGAGCCAAUGUAAAGGAAGGAUAAGUUCAGUUAUCCUUAGUGUUGAUUAACAUUGAAUGGUCCCAUAUUUUGCCCAUGAGAGAGAGCUUUCUACUCACCUGAAGACUCUUGUAUGUCCUGAAAUGAAGCUUUAAGAGAGGGUCUUAACAUUUAGAAAGACAAACAUCCUACCCUCAUUGGCUGCAAUAAAUCAAAUAUCUUCACUGGGCACUGACAUUAGAGUAGAUUAUGGCAGGAGCUUUGUAUACACCAUGAGUCCCAUAAUAACUGUUUCAUGACAUCUGGAGAGACAGAACAAUCUGUAAAAUGUUUGCUGUAUAAGCAUGAUGAUUAGUGUUGUAUCACAGGAACCUGCAUAAAAGGUAGGCAUGAUGGCAGGUACAGACUCAUAACCCCAGAUUUGAGAAGUGGAGACAUAGCAUGGUAGAGAGACUGUGUCAAAAAUAACAAUGUGGACAGCAUAGGUUGUUCUUCUCAAGCACUUGAAUCAAUACACAUUCACACAUACAUGCUCUCUCUCUCUCUCUCUCUCUCUCUCUCUCUCUCUCUCUCUGGAGAGACCUAUGCAGUCUUCAUGUGGUGAAUAGCUGGGGAGAGAAAGCUACUAUGUACAUUGCCUGUACACUAUCAGCAUCCACACAUGGAACAUAAGGGAAGGCCUUGCCUUUGUUUCUCUGAGUCCAAUUCCAAAUGAGAAGACAUUGCCAUUUUUACAUGGUUGUGAGGCUUUUAGGUCCUUGAAAUGAGCAUGCCCAUACCAACAGGACACAUUCACUUAGGACUACACUUAAGGGCUUCUUUCCCUCCUCACAGAGCACCAAUUGUUCUUUCAGAACACCCUAGUUAAGUUAAAAAUGCACACCAGGGCUCACAACAAUCUUUAACUCCAUUUGGAGGAAAUUUUAUGGCAUCUUCUGGCCUUUGCAUGUACUAGGCAUGCAUGUGUGACACAGACAUACAUGCAAACCAAGUGUACUAAUAAACAUAAAACAUUUUUGAUUUAAAAUAAUGUCCUCUCUUUAUAACAAAAUCCAGAGAGAUCCUCACACUAACUGGGAGAAAUGAUAAACCAUUACAUUUGGAGUAAAAUUGACACUUUCUGUCCAAUACCAACACAUAGCUGUUAACAACACAACCACUGUUUCCCCAAAUCCUUGCCUGAUCCUCAGGGUGCCCUCAUAUACAAUGCUCCAAAAACUGAAUAUAAUUUGCUGAAGAGAAACAAAGUACAGUGGUGAAUAUCCAUAAUCCCAGAACUUGGGAAGUGUAGUUAUUCAGAUUAGGAAUACAAGAAAAACUCAGGUAUACUGUUUAAAGCCUGCUUAAGAUACACAAACCCUUGAAAAAAAAACUGAAAAAGAAGGAAAAUGCUUUGGGACAAAGAAUCAAGUUAGGGAAAUAGGUGGAUAAGUUAUAUUAAAAUAUAUGUGUGUUUAUAUUCAAGCAAUAACAACUAGAAAAAAUGAGGCUAUGAAUUUAAAGAAAAAUAAGAGGCAUUUUGGGGAGGGUUUGAAGGCAGGAAAGUGAAGGGAGUAGUGUUAUAAGUAAAUUACAGUGUCAAUGUUUUAAAAACAGAAUAUAUAUAUAUAUAUAUAUAUAUAUAAUAUAUAUAUAUAUAUAUCACUUCAUAUAUAAAGAAAGGAGUGUAUUAAAGAAGUCCUGUUUGGGACUUAAGAGAUGGCUCCUUGGUUAAAGGUCUUGCCAUGUCCUGCAUGGCUUGAGGGACAAACCUGCUAGGGAAACAAGGGAAUGAAAAAAAAAAACAGAUACCUUGAUUUGGGUGGACUAUGUCUUCUGAUGAAGUAACUGAAGCACCAUGGAAAAUUUUCAUGUUCUUCAUGUUGAAUAGGGAGGCAAUAUAUUAUAUACAAAUAAAUAAGGAGGCAAGGCUUAUGGUAUACAAAUGGACCAAGGAGACAAGUUUGGCUAAUCUGUAUGGUAGUACACACACAUACAUUAUAUAUACAAUAUAUGAUGCAUAUAUAAUAUUAUAUGCUUGUGUGUAUAUAUGUGUGUGUACACAGUGUGUAUGUGCAGGCAUGUGUGUAUGCAUGUGUUCUUGUGUGUGUGUGUGUGUGUGUGUGUGUGUUUGUUUGUUUACGUGUUGUAAGUUUGUGGAGUAUUUAUAUCUUAAAGUAUAUUCUUAACUGACAGACUCUUUACAAAUUGUCCCCUCAAAAGGUAUAGAGUCAAGUGAAUACUACUUUGACAAAUGGCAGUUUUGUCCUGUCCUUAAAAUGAUAUAAAACAUUCUCCUGACUAACACGAAGAAUACCCUCCUCUUGUUUGAGUCUACAGAGAUUCAUGAGGUCAGAGAAAGAAAAAUAAUAACGAAAAAAAUUAAGUUGUGUGAUUAGUCAGAAUUAAAUAGAAUAUCUGUUAAAGGCAUUAGGGAAAUGUCUGGAGAGCUACAAAGAUGACACCAACUAACAAUCUAGGCAACAGAGAAGAGGCUACCUAAAGUGCCCUCUCCUAAUAAUGAGAUUGAUAACUGACUUAUAUGCUAUCAUAUACCCUUCAUCCAGCAGCUGGUGGAAGUAGAAGCAGACACCCAUAGCUAAUCACUGAACUGAACUGGAAUCCAGUUGCAGACAAGGAUGAGUGAUGAGCAAAGGGGUCCAGACAAAGCUGGUGAAACCCACAGAAACAGCUGACCUGAGAAACUGGGAACUCUUGGUCCCCUGACAGAUAGCUGGGAAACCAGCAUGGAACUGAUCCAGACCCCAGGAAUCUGGGUGUCAGUGAGGAGACCUCCAAAAUCCAUGGGGCCUUCUAUAGUAGAUCAGUACUUAUCCCUAGCAUAGGUGUGGACUUUGUGAGAUCAUUCCACAUAGAGGGAUGCUCCCUGGCUAAGAAAAACAGGGGUGGUCCUAGGCCCUAUCCCAAAGGAUAUGACAGACCCUGAAUACCCCCUAUGGAAGGCAUCACCCUCCCUGGAGAGCAGAAAGGACAUGUGAUAGGUAGGGUUUUAGUUAAGGGGUAGGGGAGGAAGAGGGAACUGGGAUUGUCAUGUAAAACAAUCUUGUUUCUAAUUCGAAUAAAAGUGGGAAAAAAAGAAUACCUGUUAGAAACUAUGGAGAGGCCACUUAUUUUCCAAAGUCCUUCCAUAUGAACCCACCCUCUUUAAAAUUCAUUUCUAAACAAGAAUUUAAAAUGAUUAUAUAUUCUCUACCACCUGUCUUUCAUUAUGAAUACUCAAUUUAUGAUAAAUAUUUUGCAUACUUAUAUGAAAAUUAUUUUUCUUGGUAAAUAUUUCCAUGAAAUGUUAGUUCAAUUAAGAAUUUUUACAGGUUUCAAUAAUGUGUUCUGGAAUGGUGCCAAAAGUGUCUUAGAGUUAUUCUGUACAAAUUAUCAUUUUCAUAUAGCAUUAUGAUGUGUAAUAUUCUUACAUGCAUGUGCAUGCAUACAUCUUUACGAGUGACUUACAGUAGGAAUUAGGAUACUAGGAUAUAAACAGUUCAAGAAGAUAUAUUUAUUCAGCUUAGCAUGGAAAGGUUUUACUGGUAGGUAAUUAAUUCUGUCACUAUUUCACUGAAGAAGUAGAUUUUUAUGGACAUUUGUUGAUAGUUUAUGUUGGACUAUAGUCUGUUCUUUCUUAGUGUUAUAGCUAAUAAUAUUUAUGUUUCUUAAAACUUUUAUAUCAUGUGUAACUUUUCACCAAGAGCUUUUAAUAAUAUGGAAAUAUGAAUACAAAUUAUGAUGCUAUAUCUUUUAUUACCUUAUAAUUUCAUUGGUAACAUUCUUUAUUCAACUAUUGAACAAGGAAUCAUAAAUAAGUCCCCAAAUUUCUUGGUAUUGGAUAUUAUUAUUCCCAAUCUAGAAUGUUUACCACCACUACUUGUCUUUGGUAAUAUUGCAUGUAUUUACUAAGUUUUAGGCAAACUCUGCUAUUUUCUAUAUCACAUUGACAAGACUCCCUCAGAUGGAGUUCAUUUUCCUUCAUCUUUUCUACUGAGGGCUAGAGCAGGAACCUUAGAAUUUUUCCCCUUGUUUUAAAAAGAAUCAUUUUCCAUUGGAAUACGAAUAGGAUUUCGGUUUAUUAAGGUACACAUAAUAUACACAUAAUUAAAUGUUUGAACACAUGGUUUUAACACACAAUCUUCUGAUUUGGAAUCAAAUAUGCUAUCAUUGAGACAAAAAGCAUCUUUGUAGGACUCUGAACGAUUGGAACAAGUAGUAUCUGGCUCCCUUGCCUGCUUCUGAUUUCCUCUUGUUGGGUGUCUUAUACAGCCUUGAUAGACAGGAUGAAUUCUGUCUUUUCUUAUUCUAUCUUGUUUUGGCCUAUUUGACUGUCAUCUCUUGAAUGUCUAAUCUUUUCUGAAGAGAAAACAAAAUGGUUGGGAGUAGAUCUGGGGGAGAAGGGAGGUAGAGGAGGGGAUCUAGGAGAUGUGGAUGGAGGGCAAACUGUGGUUAAGCUAUAUUGCAUUAGAGAAGAAGCUAUUUUUAAAGGGGAAAAUGUUGAAUUUUAUUCCAGUCUUUGAUAUAAUUUUUGCCUUAUAUUUUUCUCUUAAUGUUGACAAAGCAAACUCUCUUACUCCUGACAGAUGAAAAAAAUAUUGUUGGGUUCCAAAAGUCAAUUGUGAGCUUAUUUUACAUGUAAUUUAAAUAAGUAUGAAUGAUUUAGUGUAAUUCAGAACUUUUCUUCAGUCACCCAUCACAUAUGGCUCUAAAAGCAAUGUGAUUGAGUAGGAGGUGGUAAAAAUUCCUUGUUCUUGAGUUUUCCUUUUGAGUGGGUGUCUCAUUCUCAAGUUGCUGUAGCAUACCACAAAGUAGGUGAAACAGACAACAUAAAUGUACUUCUCACAAUUUUGGAACUCUGGGAAGUCUGAGAUGAAGAUCAGAGAGGUUUUCAUACUCUGGUUUAUAGAUGAGGGCUUCCUCCUGCAAACUCACAUGGGAACAGAAGCAAGGUGUUCUAAGUCUUAUUCUUGAUGGACAGUUAGUUACAGUAGUAGAACCUUUCAUGACACAAUUGUUCAUGACCAGGGAGCUAGGUUACAGGACAUUGUGUUCACCAAAGUAUGGCCUUUGGCACUGUCCCAUUUUGUUGUCUCAUACCAAAGAAGGUAAGUGACAUGGACUCUCCUAUGAGUAAGCAAAGCAGAUGCAAGCUUUAUUAAGAAUUAUUACAGAAUAGCAAGAAACUGAAGAAACAUGAAAAAUUUAAAAAUGUACUUCAAGAGAAAAUCUUGAGAGGGACAGGGUUCCAAGAAAGAAGAAAGCUUUUAAAUUUUCUUUUAAGUAGCCACUAAACAGAGGCUGAGGUUGAUAAAUUCCCUGGGAUAUCAUGGGCUGAGACAAUGUAGGGCUCACACAUACAAAGCCUAGAAAACAAAUGAAAUUUACAAGACUUGGAAUAUGCAGAAUGUUACAAGAAUCAUAAGGCACCUCUCCAAGGUUGUAUGAGCAUUGUGAAUUGCAGAGAGAAAAGAACUGCCUAUACACAAAUGAUCCGAGGGGCAGCUUUUGUUAGUCAGAUCCAAGUGUUGGAUGAGCUUUUUUGUGAUGCAGUUGACUUUGAGCAAGCCAUGUCCUUGUGAGUUGCACCUCAGCUAUAACCCAAUCAAUGUCAUUGAUUGACUAAAUUUAAAUUCCACAUUGAUAGAAUCCUUUCUUUGUCCUAUUGUCAAUGUCCUGGCUAUCUAUAUGGUAUCAAAAGAUAUCAUGUUUUCCAGGAAAAAAAUCACACAACAAGAUUUUUCACCCUACAUAGUAAGAGGGGUCAAUUCUUUAGUUUAAUAAUAUUUUUUUCUGACAAUUAAGUAUGUGUGGGCAUGUUUGUGAAUAGUUUUAUUGCCUUCUGUAGCUUAGCUCUGAGUACCACAGAGUGAGUAAUUUAAAAGAUGAAAAUGAUCUAGUUUACAGUCUACUGACUUAAAGUUCCAUCAUUCUAACACUCCCUUUGUGAGAAUAAAAAUCAGUACACCUGAUUUGCUCCUGAAUCCCACAUGAUGUUGCAGGGAGAAGCCUUCAUCUGUAAACCAGAGUAUGAGAACAUCUGUGGCCUUCAUCUCAGACUUCCCUGAAUUCCAAAACUGGGAGAAGUACAUUUCUGUUUUCUGUGUCACUUAAUUUAUGCUGUUAUUGCUACAGCAAGUUGAAGAGAAUUUGAUACUAAGGCUGUGGGAACUAGUAAGAAUCUGCUUACUACAUUAGAACAUGAUCCAGAUUUUGCCACUGUGAAACAGUAAAAGGUAAUAUUUCAGGUCUCAUUUUACCUUUGUCACUGUCUGUCUGUCUGUCUGUCUGUCUGUCUGUCUGUCUGUCUCUCUCUCUCUCUCUCUCUCUCUCUCUCUCUCUCUCUCUCUCUCUCUCUCUCUCUCUCUGUGUGUGUGUGUGUGUGUCCCAUUAAGACUCCAAUAGUGUUGGGAACCAAAUAUCAGAGCUUGGAAUGAGAUCCUAGGCCAUGCUUGGCAGGCCACAUAGUUAAACUUUACAUAGCAGCUCCUUAGAACCUCAGCUCAAGAAAAGAAACAAUCUGACCCAGUCCUCCACCCACAGGCUCAGUCACCUAGGCAACCUUCCCUGGACCUCUUACUGAUAAACUCUUUACCCUGCCAAACAUCCUCUUUGUGGCUUCCUAAUAUCCAGCCUCUACCAACACCUGGUGCACAAACAACCCAUUUUGCCCCUCCCCAUAUCCUGACUAUAUAAGCUAGCCUGAGAAAAGUAAAGUUUGCCACUUGAUCAGAAUCCUGUCUUGUGGUCGUUCUUUCUGUGUCUCUUGUCCCCAUUCCCCAUCCCUGACACUCUUGUCCCAGGUUGACGUCCUGCAGGUUGGGACACAAUGGCAAUCAUUACAGGCCUGUCCUGAUCAUAUAUGUAUAUAUGAAAGAAUUGGAGACUCACUUUCAUCUUAAAUUUCAGAGAGGGUAUCAAGACACAAGAUGUGUGCAUUACUGUCUGCAUAGGUUACAGAUGUGUUUAUAUGCUGUUUCUUGGCAAAACUUUGAAUAAAACCAGUGAAUGGAAAUUUUAUACAGCUUUCUAGGAAUAUAUAGCAUCAAAUACUAUAAAAUGUUCUUUAGGUACCUCACUGAAGAAAAGUGGUCAUCUCUAAAAGUUCUUUAGUAACAAUAAAAUGUUUCCUGACAGACUCCUAGGAAACUAACAGAAAUCACUUCCUCACUUCACUUUCAAAUCAAUUAAAAAGCCAUUGAUCAUUAGCAAACAAUGUUGAAGAGGUAAUAAAAAAAGACAAAUCAUGAUAAAGACAUUGAAACAUUUAGAAACUAUGAAGUAAUGCCUCUUCAAAACUUAUAACCCAAAGGGAAAAGUAAGUCUCUUUCAGAAAAUUGCAAAACAUCUUUCCUGUAUGUAAGUUCAUAUUUUCAUAUUGAAGACACAGUAGAGCAGACUCUGAUGUGCUGAAUGUCUGCUUUUUGACUGGGGACUCUGAAAAACCGUGAGAGUUCAGUGGACCAUUAGGACUCUGACCAAAUGCAUGAAUGGAGAAAUCCUCUGGUAGUUGCAUGAUAUUAUGUCAAUAUAAAGCAAGUGAGUGCUAGCUUAGGCCCCCAUGGCAUGUUCAUGACUCCUUCCUUGAUCUCUGUUCUUCCUGUUUGCUAUGAGGUGGGAAGCUUAGCCCCAGCUCCAUACUUAGGGUUUACUUCAGGUGCAGAUAAGAAGAGCCAGCCAUAGACAGAAAGUAUUCAAACCAUCCAGAAGUCUUUAUUCCUCUUAACCCACCUUCUUAGGUACAUAUUACAGUCUCCAAAGGAUAAGGAACUCAGUAACUGAAAUAAUGUGUUUUGGUCACAAGAUGAGAUCUUACAUAUAGUUGAAUGAUUAUGUUGUAUGUGAAACUAAAGGGCAAAGACAUUAUUUCCUGAUAGAAUGCAGAAAAUAAAAUGCACCUUGUCUGAUGGAAAUAAACCCAGAAAGCUAGCUGAAUUUUUACCCUCAUAACACAUAGGUAUAAUAAAGGUAAAUUAUAUUUAGCAUAAUACACCACUCUAAAAUUCCAUUUGUCUUCUUUCAUCAUUCAAAAAUCAUAGACUAUGAAAGAAUAUAUCUGUAAUAUUUUUAUUAGAUAGAAAAGUCACAAGAAAGUGAACACCAUUCACCAAAUAUCAGUGUUUACUUUUCUUUUUACCAUUUUAUUAAAUAGACGUAACUAGUACAUUUCAGAUUUAUAGUCAGAUUCAUGUUAACACCAAGUUAUGAUGAAAUAUGAGAGUCGGGAAGCCUAAGUUCUUUAUUCCUGUGGUCCACAUGGAAAUUCCAUUUAUAGAAACUUCUUGGCCUUGAAACUGUGUUAUUUUUGAACCAGACAUGAAACAGAGGAAGUGAAGUUUUUUUAAAAAAAGAUAAUUUUGUCUAUUUUUUAUAUUUUUGGCAUAGAAACAACGUUAACUUUCCAUGCUAUGAUAUGUUAUGGCAUGUCUAUUGACAGGGAUUUUAAUCCUCAUUGCAUAUCCAGAGUGCCUAAGCAUUUGGUUCUAAAUCUUUUUUUAAUGUUCUUUCCUGACAAACUCUAAUAGUUUAAAAUAUGAAAUAAUAGUACAUCAGGAAAGAAAGUACAUUAUGAUCAAUACACUCUGCUAUGGCCUCAUGAAGUAAUUGCUUAUAGCACCUAAACAGACUUUUUUAAGAAACCCUCUGAUCCCUUGGGUGAGUUUUUCUUCUUAAAUAUUUCUGUCAUUGUUAAUAAAUUCCCGAAGUCUAAUUAACUGAAGCAUUUGAAUUUUUUCUCCAUUUUUUUCUGCUGUAUGUAUUCACCUAGUUCUGUAAUUCUCAAUCCAUAUGAGACAUCCUUUCUACAGUGCAAUCCAUUACUUAUGUGGAAAGAAAGGCUUCUGAAAGGUAAUAUAUCAUGAAAAGGGAAGACCAAAUGCUGUGUGCUCCCUGAGGGCUAACAGGCAGGCCUGCUUUGCAUUUGCAGCAAAUGCCUCACCUUUGUUCAGAAAACAUCACAUUGCCCCAAGUGCAAUUUAGUAUUUAACUAAAAUUACUUGAAUACCUUUGUUACCACUUACAUUUUUGAAUAAUGUACUUAGAUCAUUUACAGUGAAUUUUAUUUAUACAUCUUAUUAUGAAUAAACAAAGUAUCAUAUAAAUUCAUCAUGUUCUUUUAUACUAUAGGCAUUUAGUGUUUAAUAAAUAUGUUGAAUUCAAUAAACGGCAGAUAUUUAAAUAAUAUUCACAGAGUGCUGCAGCUUUGUGAAAGUUGAGUUGAAAAUUUUAACAUUAACAAGAGCAAUAUUUUCUAACACUUCAAUCUAAAUGUGGUUGGGCUUGGGCAAUAGAGACAUAAUUCCCCCUUCAACACUCAAAUGGACAUGCUUGACCUCUAGCAAGGGACACAGGAAUGAUAUUCACCUGGACACUUGGUUAACUCACACAUCAUUCUUAAAUUAUAUAUUGAAUAAGAUCAAUGAUAAUAAAAUGUAUCCAUUUAUUUCAAAACUCUUUUUGUAAGUUAGAUAAUUGGCUCUAUGGAAAACUUUCAAAAAGAGCAGUAGGAGAAUGAAUCAUAAAUAUACAGCAUGUCCAGAAAAUGUCAGGCUUAAGUAAAAUUAGAACAACUGAUAAAGAGGUUUUCCAAGGAAUACAUGAUCAUGAAAGACCCCAAGAAAUUGGUAACCAUAAACAAAAUCAGGAAAAUUCACAGAAGACAAUGAUGGGGUAAAACAGCUUGAAGAUAUAUUUUCUUUCAAUUCUCAUCUACAGGAUAUUGAAGAAAUUUUAGUACCCAUCCACACAUAAACAUCAACAACUCAAAAUGUACAGACAUGUGAGUUCACUAGUACACACAAAGGAACCAGCAUCCCGGUUAAGAUUUUUAGAAGCACAACAUUUGGAUGCUUUCUAGAUGUAUUAGCAUUUCUGACUACAGCAGUAACCACCAGGUAAUUUGACUUUGGUCACUGUAUUUAUGCCAUUUUUAAGUUUUCCUACCUUACAUAUUUACAUACUAUGAAAAGAAUGGGAUGCACAUAUGAAUCUGUUUCCUAUGUUUGCAUUAUUCAAAUAAGAUUGUUAUGCAAAUUUACAGAUCUAGUAUUGUUCAAUUUUUAAAAUUAUUUCUUUGAGAAGUUUGUCCAAUAUAUUUUGAUAAUUGAACCCAUUCCCCUAACUCCUUUCAGAUCCACCUCAACAUCUCUAUCCACCUAUGUGUCUGAUUUUUUAAAGCCCAUCAAUCCAAACUAUAUUGUUCAUAUAAUCUUGAUCAAAUGUCCUUUCACUGAAACAGGGUUCCCUACCAAGGAUCACACUCUUAAAGCAAACACACUCACUGUAUCCCUCCAACAAUCAGUUGACAAUAACUUUUCAAUAAAGUAUGAAAUUCUAUGCCUCCCCUCUCUAUGCUUGGAUUUAGUCUUGAUUGAGAUUUCAUAGGUCUUGGGCAUGUUAUCCUAACUGCGUUGAGGUCAUGUGUGCGAUUGUUCUUUUGAGUAUGGAAAAUAAUACAAUUUUGUAGUUAUCCACUACCUCUGGUUCUCACAUACUAUUUACACACUCUUCCACAUUGAUCCCUGAGCCUUGGGAAAAGGGGUAUUUAGUAUAUUUAGUGCUGAACAUUUUAUGGACUCUUAUUCUCUGCACUUUGUCCAGUUUGAAUCUGUGUGUUAAUCACAAUAUACUGAUGGAAGAAGACAUUUUAGGAAGUUUGAGAGAUUCACUAAUCCAAGAAUACAAUAACAACAUCAUUAGGAGUGAUUUUAACAGAAUUUAGCAGAAUAAUAAUUGUAGAUUUUCCCAUAGAACCCAUGACUUAUCUAGCCACAGGUAUUUGACCUAGUAAUAGAAACUGGCAUUAGUUUCAUCUUAUGAAGCAGACAUUAAUUCCAAUCAGAAAGUACCUUGGUAGUCUCCUAAUACUCAUGUCACUGUUGUACCAGUGGGCAUACAUUGCCAGACUGAUUGUCAUUGUCAAUCUCAGUACCUAGCUAGGUAAAGCCCAACAUUAUUUCUCUUCUCCAACAACAUAAACAUUAUCUUCCAACACUAUAAAAGUUAGUCAAUAAUGAGGAAGCUUCCAAAUGAGAACCACUUAGAUUUAUCUGUGUUUUAUGGCUGGUGUAUGUGAUUUUUUUAGCAAUAGUCUCUUACAAUCAAGUUCUCUAGGAUGGCCAAGAACUUUGUGUUUGGAGGGUCUAUGGGAACUCACUGGUCAAUAGCUCCAAAACACAUAGAACUUUCCUGGUCCUGGAGUUUUUAUUUGCUAAUCUAUGAUGCCUAGUGGGGAAUUUUUAGUCCCAUUAUAGACUAACUUUAUUUAAACUAUCUUUGUAUGCAUGUGUAUAUUUUUGGAAGCAUCUAUAGUAGUAGUUUUCAUAUACCAUUUUGAUUGGUAUUCAAUAUUUGGUUAUCUCUCCCCAUAUUUCCGGCUCUACCUGGUCCUAAAUCCCCAACUAAUGUGGGAAAUUACCAAUACGGAGCCAGGUAAAAAUACAAGGGAAUUUAAUAUGGAAAAGCCUUACUUACAGAGCUACCUAGACAGCCAGCAGAGCAGCAGUAAGUACAACAAGCCAAAGAUGAAAGCAAAAGCAGGGCCACCACAUAAGAAUCCCUCCCUCUUCAAAUUUCCAUCUUCAACAUCAUCCUGACCAUGCCCUCGCCAGUAGCCAGCCCCUAAGCAGGCAUGGCUACAGCAUCCCCUACAAUUCCCCUUUUAGUCUAAAAGAGGAUUAAAACUUAACAAUGUAAAGUAUCCAAAAUUAACAAUCAUAUAGGUGAAAUAUAAGAAAAUACAACAAUCUGCUUAUGUUACAUCAUAACUAUUUUAACUAAACCCUAAAGUCAUCUGAAAGAGGUGUCCAAGCCUGAACACCUCCUUCCAAUCCCAAACAUAAACAAUAGGAAUCUCUCCCUACCUUGGUAUAUACACUAUCCUAAAUGACAACAAUGGGGGAAAGAGGGUGUAGCAUCCCCCAAGUUACUUCCUGCUGAAAUGGGACAUUGAUAGACUAGCGGGGUCCUGUAGGAAUAAAAUGUUAGUGUAGUGAAAGUCUUGAAUGGAUUAUAUUCAGUCCAUGUUAGAUAGGAUUCAGUUGAUUGAAGAUCUCACUUGAAAUCCUCAACUUGAUUGAAGUCAGUACCAGAACCACUGGCUGGAGUGUCAGUUGAAAUGGAGUAAUUUGGAGGUGUGGCCCAUUUUCUUUCCAAGGUGUCCAGGGAUUGCUGUCAGGCAGGUCUUCAUUAACUGUGUGGGACUCAAACAUAAAAGUUAGCAGAGAAAUGUUUGCUUGUGUAAGUAUGUAUACUGGAAAGGCAACUAUGGGAGAAUAAUAAUUACAAAAGAGUGUACACCUUGAAGAAAAGAGCCAAGAAAAGACAAAGGCAGUAACCAAUUUCUUCUCUUAUUCUGUAUUACAUCAAUUGGCUUAUUAAUACAAUACAGAAACUCUAAACUUUAGGUAAACAAUGUGCUUGGAUUUUAGAGGAGGAAAGCCAAAUCGACCUCUAAAACCAGCAUUGUUUUAGUUGAAUAAAGACUAGAAAUAAAGAGAAAUAGAGUUCUGUGAGAGACAGCUGUAAAAUUUACCAUAUGGCACAUUCCUUUUGUUUAUAGCUACCCUCUCUUCUUAAGUAUCUACCCAUGCAGUGUCUGUUGACGUCUGGAAAUGAGUUUUCCUGUGAAGAUAAAAGCAAAACACUUCCAUUUACUUUGUGAUGUUUCUAUUUAGUUUAUGAGAUAUACCUUAGUAGAAUAUCUGUCAUUUUUCCUCGUCGAGAGGUUUUUCCUUUUCAACUCAAAUCUUGAUCAAAUUUGAUGGUAUCCAAAGUUUUUCUUCUCCUGUGGAAACCAAAGCAAAUCCCCUACCCCAAUGUAGCACAUGUCCUGGUUUCCAUACAGAGGUUAGUACAACUUUGAAGUAUACCGGCUGAUUGAGUUCAGCAGUUUUCUCUGUAGUCCAGUGACUUUCUACAGCUGUUUGUCCUUUCUCAUUGGAGUUAAGAAAGUUUAGUGUUAACAAAGCAUUAUUCAACCUAUGUUUGGGGGGUUUAGUCUUCCAAGCUUGUUUGUGGAACAUCUUCUUAAGUGUUCUAUUAGAUCUCUCAAACACUGCUUGUCCCAUAGAAUUGUUUGAUAUACCAGUGACAUGCUUUAUGUCAUAAUAUUUGAAAAAUUGUUACAAUUUUGUAGAGACAUAUGCUAGAUCAUUCUCAGUCUUUAUUUGUGCAGGUAUACCCAUAACUGCCAUCACCUCUAGAAGGUGUGUAAUAACAGAAUCAGCUUUUACAGAGUUAAGAACAGUAGCACAUUGGAACCCUGAGAAUGUGUCUAUAGUAUGAUGCACGUAUUUCAAAUUUCCAAAUUCUCCAAAGUGAAAUAUAUCCAUCUGCCAAACCUCAUUUCUCUUAAUGACCUUAGGAUUACAACUUGCUGGCAACGGAGUCUGAUUAUAAAAGGAACAAGUAGGAGAGUUUCUCAAUAUCUUCUUGGCUUGUUGCCAAGUGAUAGAGAAGUCCUUUUUCAAACCUUUGCUAUAUACAUGAUGUUUCUUAAGAAAUUCUGAGGCUUCUAGCACACUUCCAAUUAAUAAAUGAUCAAUCUCAUCAUUGCCUUGUGCUAGUGGGCCUGGCAGACCCUUAUGGGAUCUGAUAUGUGUAAUGUAUAUAGGAUUACUUCUGUUUCUGAUUGUUUCCUGUAAUUGUAAAAACAGAGAAGUUAAUUCUGUAUUAUCAGGAAUGAAUUCUGCAGUCUCAAUGUAUAACAUGACUCUCUCUGCAUAUUGAAAAUCAGUAACUAUAUCAAGAGGUUCCAUAAAAUCCAUAAGCACCAUGAGAUUUGAAUAAAUUCUGCCUUCUGUACAGAUAUAUACAAACUUUGAACUACUUUACUUACCUCACCUGCUUUAUAACCUGCCUUACCUGAUUUGUUGGCAUAAGUGUAGAAGGUAAGAACUCCAGAAAUGGGAGUUUGUCUAAUAAUACUGGAAGAAUCCAGACUGUCUCUUUAUGAAUUUAAUUCUGUCUUUUUGGGAUAGUUGUUGCUAAUCAUUCCCAAAAAGUCAGUAAGAGCUAUUUGCCAAUAGUCAUUAUUCUUCCACAAGGAGAAAAUUUCUUCAUUGGUUAAAGGCACUAUAAUUUCUGCUGGAUCUUUUCCAGUCAGUUGAAGAAGUCUUAAUUUAUCCUUUAGAAUCUAAUCAGAAUUCUUUUCUAUAUAUGUCUUUAACUUUUUAUUCUAUUUAUGUGGCAAAAAUAUACAAUCCAAUAUGGUGUCUUCCUUCUGCAUCAGAAUCCCAGAAGGGUAUUUUCUGGAUGGCAACAUAACCAGAAUACAGUCUAAAUUAAGGUUUAUCUGAUCUACAUGUGCAUCCAAUAUUCUGUUUUCUACCCAUUGUAAUGAUUUUCUGCCUCAGCGGAUGAUAUUCGUGGACUGCUUAGGUCCUUAUCACCUUUAAAGGCCAUUUUUAAAUGCUUUAAGUCAUGUCCUUCUACUCCAAUAAUCGUCUGUAGUUGAUAAAUUUCCCCUAAUAAUUUCUGAAGUGAAUUAAGAGUUUGAUAAUUAUCUCUCCUAAUUUGUACCUUUUGAGGUCUGAUUCUUUGUAAAUCUAUCUUGUAAACUAAAUAGUUAAUAGAAUCCCUUCUUUGUAUCUUUUCUGGGGCAAUCUGUAACUCCCAAUGAAGCAGAACUUCCUUCACCAUUUCAAAAAUAUGUUCCAGAGUUUCCUAUUUAGAAUCUGAUAAAAGAAUAUCAUCCAUGUAAUGAUAAACAAGAGAUUGUGAAAAUUUCUUACGAAUUAUUUCCAAAAGUUGCUGUAUAAAGUGCUGACACAAAGUAGAACAAUUUAGCAUUCCUUGUGGCAAAACCCUUCACUGAUAUCUCCUAACUGGCUUUGAAUUAUUGAGUUGGUACAAUAAAUGCAAAUUUUUCUCUAUCAUUUUCCUGUAACAGUAUUGUUAAAAACAGUCUUUUAGAUCAAUGUCUAUGAUUGGCCAUCCUUUAGGUAUUAAGGAAAGCAGAGGAAUUCCAGGUUGAAGAGAGCCCAUUGGUUGAAUUACCUCAUUUAUGGCUCUCAGGUCUAUCAGCAUUCUCCACUUACCUGACUUCUUUUUGAUGACAAAUACAGGAGAAUUCCAAGGACUGGUAGAUUCCUUUAUAUGUCCAGCAUCCAGCUGUCAAUGUACUAACUUUUCUAAAGCCUCUAGCUUCUCUAUCUUCUCACAAGCCAUUGUCCUACCCAAACAAGUUCAUCUGUAAGCCACUUCAAAUGGCCGGGCCUUUGGCUCUUCUGAUGGUCUAUCAUUUGUACCUAGUUUCUGUACAGCCUGGAUGGUUGGUAACCAUUUUCCAUAGCUUCUUACCAGAUCUUUUCUACUAUCUAUAGAUUGUACAUAAUUUGUUUCUGACACUGGAGAAAUAUUAAUCUGAGUGUUCCAUUGCUGUAAGAGAUCAAGACCCCAGAAAUUUAUAGCUAUAUCUGCCAUGUAUGGUUUCAGUCUCCUUUACUGUCCUUCUGUUCCAAUGCAGAACACCAGUUGAACACUCUGUCAAACUCUAGAUAGGGUUCCAAUUCCUAAAAAUUGUACAUUCGCCUCUCUAAGAGGCCAUUUCUGAGACCAAGACUUUUGGGUAAUAAUAGUCACAUCUGCUCCAGUGUCUUAUAAGCCAAUAAUAACUUUAUUAUUAAUUCUCACUUUCAAUUGUGGGCUUUUAUCAUUAAUAGAAGUUUGCAAAAUAUGUGUUUCUCAUUUUGUUCAGUCAUAGUUGAUUCUUCAUCACUAGCCAAACUACCAUCUACAGCAGUGUUAUUUUUCACAAAUGGCUGGACCUUUCUCAAUGUGGGGGCUGUCUUGAGUCCCCCCUCAGGGUUUCACAACCUUAACGGGUUUCCUUGCAUGUCCCUGAUCAAUCUACAUUCAUUGAUCCACUCUCUGCCCUUACCACAUCUUCUACACAAUCCAGAAGGCAGUGGCCUUCCAUAUGGCAUUGUUAGAAUUCCUUUAUCUACAAUUUCUCUUGAUAUGUCCCAUUCUACCUCAGCUGAAGCAUCUAGGUUCCUGGCGCCUUCGUGGUCUCCUGGAAAAGGCCCUUCCUACCCAAGGUUCCUCUAUUACUACUAUGAACCAGAACCUUGGUACCUAUGUUGACCUCUGGAAGGUGCUGCUCCUUCCCAAGCCCUUGCAUCCUCACCUCUAGAACUUUUAAUCUCCUGUUGCCUUUUUAAACCUUUUGAUAUUGCUUCUCCUACCCAUGCUCCAGUAUCUUGCACAUUAUAGUCUAUGUUGGCUGCAUGCAAAACCCAUUCUUCUAGAGGAGCUGAUCUGAUCUUUAAAGGCAAAACUAUUCUUUUGCAUAUUGGGUUUGCAUUUUCAUAAGCUAUUGUAUAUAUAAUUGAUUGUCUUGUUUCCGGAUCUGUUACCUGUAAUUCUACUGCCCUAGUUAAUCUUUGUAUGAAGUCCUGGAAUUGUUCUGUAGGUCCCUGUUCUAUUCUGGCAUAAGCUUCUAGGUGUUCUCUUGGCUCAUGAACCCUAUCCCAGGUUUAUUGUUGCUUUCCUGCAUAGGAACAGUAUAUGGUCAUCAUAUUCAGCCUGAGCCUAUGGCUUAGCAUAAAUGCCCUCACGAAGAAUCUUAUCUCAGGGGAUUUCAUAUCCUUCCUUUAUUAUUUGACACUCAAGGAGCUUCACUUCCACCCUGACCAAUGCCCUCCUUUGUAUUUGGCAUGAAUUCUCAAGUACAGCUGCUACCAAUUGUCCCCAAUCUGUGGGUAUCACCCUCUUAAAGGUUGCCCAUGUAUGUAAUAGCUGUUUUACGUAUAGGAUAUGGAGACCAUAUGAGACAACUGAUUCUUUAAUAUUCUUAAGAUCCUUCAGCUGUAUAGGUUGCCAUACAUAAGCCCUGAGGGUGUUUCUUAGAAGCUGGCUUUUCUACCAUGGUAAUUGGGUAGACUGAUGGUAUAUGAGUAACAACCUUAGAAAAAUAGUCAUGAUACCUGGGUGGAGUAGGUGCCUCAGAUUGGAGUGAUUCUUCUCUGAAGGAUCCCAUAAUGAUAUCCUCAUGCAAGGUUUCAAUUUCUUGCAUCAUAAAAGAUUCCAAGCAUGUAGUGAAUCUGUAAAUUGCUCUAACUGAUCCUCUACAUGUUUUUCUAGGUCUUUAAUAUGCUUAUCCUUAGACAGCAUCUAGAUGGCAUGGAAACUGCUUUCUAGGUAUUGGAGUCUAGAUUCAAGGUCAUGAUUUGCUGAUAUUUAGUCCCCAGAAAUUGACCAUAUGGACCCAUCUAAUCUGUCAGCCUUGUUCUGUAAACUAUCUUAGAAACAUUUGAAUCUAGACUCAAAUUUGUGAUCUGCUACCUUAGAUGCUUCAAUAAUUGAUUGAAUGACAUUGUCCAAUUCUUCAACCCUAUCCUGGGUAUUUUGCACCUUUGCAUCUAGUUUCUGGGUCACAGAGCCUAUCUGAGUUUCUAGCUCACUACGGCUACAGAUAUUCUUUAGUUCAUCAUGGUCCUCUGACAGCCUAGCCUCUAAUACCUCAGAGAUGGAGGAUCUCUCUUUUUUUUAAUCUUAUGGUAAAUAGGCUGCAUCUCAUCUUGGGUAACAGACAGCUCUGUCUUUAGUGUAUUGGACACAGAGCCAAGCUUAUCAUCCAAUUUCUGUUCCACUUGCUGCACAAUUGUGUGGCCUGACCUAAUCUGUUCUCCAAAACCUCAUUGCCUAAAGUUUUAUUUCCUGCAAGCAGGCGGUGAGGUUAUCUUUGUCCCUGUUCCUGGGACCUCUGGCUAGUAAUGUUAUUUGUACCAGCAAGCUAACUAUCAUUACUGAAUAUAGGCCGGUAAUUGGCAGAUUACCGUCCUCCUCCAACACUGACUUCAUGUAAUAAGCAAAAUUAUUACCAUUUUUAGCAAAUAAUAAAUAUUCUGCCAUAAUUUUACCAGAUGAUUUCUAAUCCAGAUGCAGAAACUAUCUUUGCCCAGCAGGUGGUGCAGGCAUUCAGUUAGUCCACACAUUUUUUGGCAAUGGUGGGUCACGCAAGAUGGCAAUGGCAUCAGUUGUGGAGCUCAGGUUACACAGGCGGCUGUGCUUUAGCUGGAAGCAUAUGUCCUUGUGUGUGGCUUUAUGGCCACACAGCCAGGGGAAGCUAUGGAACCUGCUGUAGACCUACUCCCAAGGCCUACUCAGUUCAAGGGCAGGAGGCAUCCAGGCGCAGUUAGGCCACAGUCCUGGCUGGUCCUAUGCACACAGUGUUAAAUCCGAGGGGGUCUAGAGAACUCUCCCAGUUGGGAAAACUGUUCUGAGCAGUUCAAGGGCAGCCAGAAUGUGCUUGUGUGGUGCAGCAGGUUGUCUGCUAGCAGGGAGCACAUUUGGAGAGAAGAAGCUUUCCGGGCCUAGACUGCCUUUCUGGUGGGACCUGCAGACUCUCCCAAAAGGGGCCUAAGUUUACAAGAUCCUGCUUCUGACAACCAGAUAAUGUGGGAAAUUACCAAUAGGGAGCCAGGUAAAAAUACAAGGGAACUUAAUAAGGAAAAGCCUUACUUACAGAGUGACCUAGCCAGCUGGCAGGGCAGCAGGAACUACAGCAAGCCGAAGAUGAUAGUGAAAACAGGGCCACCACAUAAGCAUCCCUCCCUCUUCAACUUUCCCUACCUCACCCUGUCCAUGAUCUUGCAGGUGUGGUAAGAUGUGGCUACAGCAUCCCCUACACCUUACUUUACUUUAUUCAUUCUAUUCCAUUAUUUUUCUUUAAAUCUUUACAACCUCAUUCUAUCUCACUCUCUUGAAAGCCAAUAUCCAUGUUUUUCUUUUACUAAGUUACUGACUUGUAUUAGUAUUCCAAAUAAAACCACAUAUCUGUGGAUUCAUCAAGUUAUUUGAAGAAACUUCUAAUUAAUUUCAACUGUGUUUACAUCAGCUAUGAAUAAGUUCUUUUUCUGUCCAUCCACACCAGCAUAAAAUCCUACCUGUUUUCACUGGAGUAAGAUGAUAUCUUAAAUUUAUUUAAAUUUGUAUUUCCCUGAUAGAUAAGGAUCAGCAACCCAUGUAAUAUUAUGGAUAACUAAUUCACAUUAAAACACCGAAGUCUCAACAAAUUUAGGAAAAUUAGAAUACUAUCCUGAAUUUUAACUUACCACACUGGAAUAGAUCUUGAUAUUAACAGCCAGAGAAACUGCAGAAUGUACAAAGACUCAUGCAAAAUAAACAGCACACUACUGAAUGAUAAUUGAGUCAAUAAAGAAGUGAAAAAUGAAAAUUUAACUUUUAGGAUUUCUAGAGUAAUCAAGUAUACAGAGCACAUAUCUCAACAUAGUAAGGGUAAUAUACAGCAAAAUCUCAUCUUGCUAAAUAGAGAAAAACAUGAAAGUAUUUUCCCCAAAACCAAGAAUAAGACAAAGAUGUCCCCUCUCCCCCAUCUUCUUCAAAGCAGAAUUUGAAGUUUUAUCUAAAAAAAUAAUAUAAGUGGCCGAAAUAUACAAAUAAGAAAAAAAUAAAUCAAAGCAUCAUUACCAUCUUAUGAUAUUGUUCUAUGCAUAAAAGUCCUUAAAUUCCACUAGAACAUUCCUCUAGCUAAUAAACACAUUCAGCAAAGCAGCAAGAUACAAAAUUAACAUGCAAAAAUCAGCAGUUUUCCUAUAUAAAAAGCGUAUUCACACUAAGCAAUGAAUCAGGGAGAUAACACCAUUUGCAAUACCCUCAAAAAUAAAAUAAAAUGCCUUAGAUAGAAAAUGAAAAAAGAUACCACAAGGUGAAAAGACCUUCAAUGGUCAUGCCUUGACUGGGAUAAUAUUGUGAAAUGGCUAUUGUAACAAAGCAAUCUACAAAUUCAGUGCUAUCUCCAUCACAAUUCUGAUGAUAUUCUCUUGAGUAAUUUAAAAAAAAAAUCAUUUUAAAUUCCAUAUAGAAAAACAAAAGAACCAGGAGAGCUUAAUCAAUCCUGAAUAUGUUUUAUAAUUUAUUUAUUCUUUUAAAUUUCAUUUCACAUUCCAUCCAACCUCUCAUCCCUCCCUCCUUGUCCCCCCAGCCCAUCCCCAAUUCAAUCCUCCUUAUAGGUAAGGGCUCCCAUGAGGACUCAACAUAGUUUGGCACAAUAGGUUGAGGUGAGGUCUAGCCCCUCUCCCAAACAUUAAGGCUGAGCCUGGCAUCCCACCACAGGAAACGGGAUCCAACAAACUAGCUCAUGUACCAGGAUUGUAUCAUGGUCCAGCUGCCAGGGAACCCUCAUAUAGUUCGAACUUCACAACUGUCUCUUCCAUAUGGAGGACCUAGUUCAGUCCCCUGGAGUCUCUACAGCUGUCAGUCUAGAGUUAACGAGUUUCCAUAAGCUUGGUUCAGCUGUCUCUGUAGAUUUCACCAUCAUGUUCUUGAUCUCUCUCCCUCAUAUAUUCCCUCCUCCCACUCUUCGACUGGAAUCCCAGAGCUCAGCCUGGUGAUUGGUUGUACACCUGUGUAUCUGGUUCCAUCAAUAACUGGAUGAAGACUCUAUGAUGAUAGUUAGGGUAGUCUCCAAUCUGAUUACAUGGGUAGGUCAGUUUGUUCGCUCUCUCAAUUAAUGAUAGGAGACUUAGCUGGGAUCAGUCUUGCAGAUUCUUACAAAUUACCCUAACACCAUGUUUCUCCCUAAUCCCAUAGUAGCUCUCUCAGUUAAGAUAUCUCUUUCAUUGCUCUACCAAUAAAUACAUCUCCCAUCUCGACGAUCCCAUUCCCUUAUGUUCUCAUCAGCCAAUCCCUCCCUAUUACCAGCCCUUGCCCCCAGUUUACCCUAUAGAUCUCAUCUAAUUUCCCUACCCAGGGUAAUCCAUGUAAGAAAUUUUGGAAUCAGUCUACCUCAAGACCUAGCGAUACCACUCUUGGGCAUAUACCCAAAAGAAUGCUCAAUCAUACCACAGGGAUAUUUGCUCAGCAAUGUUCAUAGCAGCACAUAGCAGCUAUUUGUAAUAGCCAGAACCUAGAUGCCCCUCGAUUGAAGAAUGGCUAAGGAAUUCUGAAUAGUUUUGAAACACUUGCUGUUGAUAUUCGCAUUCUAGAUUUCAAGGCAUACUACAGAACUAUAGUAAUAAGAACAGCAUGAUACUGGCAAUUAAACUCACAUAUUGAUUAAUGGAGUAGAAUUGAGGACAUGUAUAUAAGACCAUAUUCCUACUGUCAACUGAGUUUUGGCAAAGAUGCCAAUAAUACAUACACUGGGGAAAUGAUAUUCUCAAUAACAAAUGAAGCUGGUCAACUUAAUAGGUACAUGUUGAAGAAUGAAUCUAGAUCAUUGUCACGCAUGCUAAAAAAAUAUCAACUUCAAAUGUAUCAAGGACCUCAUAUAUGGGGUCUUAUAGCUAAAAAAGUAUGGAAUGUGCUUUAACUUAAAGGUACAGGAAAGGAUUUCCAGAACAGGACCAUAGUAGCACAGGCAUUCAGAGCAGUAAUUCAUGGUAACUUAUGAAACUCACCACAUAAAUAAAGAAAUUGCCCAUAGAAUAGGGAAAAUGGUACUAGCUAUACAUCUGAUAGAGAGUUAUAUCCAGAAUAUACAAAGAAAUCUCCCCACACACAAAAAAAUCAAGAUCUGGUUAUUAGUUGAGUGAAAAAAAUUAAAUGGUUAGAGAACAAUAAUAAUAAUCACCCCCCCCCCAAUUUUAAGGUGCAACAUGAGAGCAUGGGUAUGAUAUUGGAAAGAGUAUUGGGGACCAUUUUAAAUUCAAUUAUUAUGGAAGUAUUGCUAGAGUCUAGAUAGUGAAUAGGUAAACUGUAGACAAAGUAGAGAGUGAUGAUAAACAGAAGCUAGAGUUCUUGAAACAGAAUAUUAAAAUGUGCCUGUUAAUGAGAAUAUCAAAUUUUAAAUAAUAAACAUUAAGAAUGUGAAGGUGGAAAAAAUGGAUGGAGCACUGGAAAGGUUUAAAAUCAAAAAUUUAGUGUAAGUCAGUCACCUAUGCACUAUUAAUAAAUGGCUCUUGGCAAGCAAGAAUCCAGGUGCCAUCCUUAUAAGACUAAGAAGAAGAAUAAUUUUAUGAAAUUUUAUAAUUAGAGAAUUUCCAAAAUGACAAAGUAAAAGAGUGGGAGAUUCAAUGAGAACUCUCCUCAUCUCCAAAAUACACAGCAUAAAAAUUCUCUUUAUUAGUGGAAGUCAGUAACAUAGUAGCUUCAGAGUACAGUGAGAUGAGAACACAAAGAUGACCCAACCUUUAGAGAUUCAACAGAGUCCACAGCUCAAGUGGUGUCCAAUAGGCCUAGGGGAAUGAAACUCUCCAUCUCAGAUGGAUGCUAAAAGCUUCCCCAAAAGUCACGCCAUCUCUUCCCUAAUGUAAAGAGUCAGUUCAAUGUACAAUGAGCAGCUGUUUUCCUGAACAAUAAAUCUAUGGCAUACUGUUUUAACUCCUUUACAUCAUUAAGAAAGGCAUUUGGAUGAAGUAGAGUAAGAGCAAGAAUAAACUAGAAAGAUGCAAAUUAGUAAAUAAUUACAUAUUGAAUAUUGAAAGUCCAUAUUCAUUAAGGAAAUCUCACAAGAAUAGUAGUGUAACUAUGGUGUAAACCUUAAAAGUGAAGUAACACCUGAGUUCAUCUUCACUAUUAUCUUCUGGUCUAGAAUUUAUGGUUGGACUUAAAUUUAUGAGCAAGGCUACCAAGUAUAAAAAUAGCAUUUCCAAUUGUUUUUUUGUUCUGUGGAGAACAACAACAAAACGUAUUUCAAAAAUUGAUCUUGAAACAAGGGAACACUGCUGGACAUAUACUUCAGCCAAGCGCUUAGAAAUAUAGAGUCAGAGGUAGUCCAUGCAAACAUCAAUCCUGAUGACUGCACACACAUCUCGGUUUCCUCUGAAAAGAACUAUAUGCUAUUUCUGAGUGAAUACUGAGAACAUAGUCUGAAACAUAAGAACAUUUGCCUUUGUUAUUAAUAGUAUCAUUCUGAUAAUUCGAAAGGUACAACCCAUGGGGUGUUUUCCUGUAACAGAAUAAAGCCCGUUAUUUUCCUUGAGGUUUUGUUGUCCAAGUACUGAUUACUCUCUAUCAGCUUCAUAUCAUCACUAUUAAAAAAGUAACUUUUUCACUGGCAUUGAUUUUCAAGUUUUUGGAUACAGCAUGCAGAAUAAGACAAAUUCUUAGUACUAAAUUUGACUUUACAUAGAUCCCACAUGACCAAUAUCUUUUAGAGUCUCUAUCAUAUCCUUUUGACCCAGAAACUUGUCAGUUGUAAUCUGUUAGAAAGGAAAUUCCAUAAUGUGAAGGAUCCUUUGUAUUCAGUAUCGUCUCUUAAAUGUCUUCAGUAGUAUCAAGUACCUACAAUGUGCCUAAUAAUGUUUCCACUGGCAGUUAAUAUGGCCACCAAGAUUAGUUUUCUUUCAUGCUCUUAGAAUACAGUCACAUCCUCUUUCCUUACAUUUUUCUCCUUCCUUUCCUACCCCAAUGGGCCCUUUCCCAUUUAUUACUUAAAAUCUACUGCAUCGUGAUAGAAACCAAGCAAAGAGUUGGUAAUGGGUACAUGAUGUGAAAUAGGCUUCCCCUUUAUAAGACUUGGAAUGUUUGUUCAUGAAAACACAUCUAUAAUUAUUGUCUCAUUCUCAUGCAUAUCAUGGUUUCUUUUACAUGUUAAUUUUGGGAAAUCUGUUUAUUCUUUGUCAAAUAAGAAACAAUAGGAAAUUAGAAGAAAUUUAAAUUAAUUGUCUGCCAACAAGAAGUGAUGUAUUGAGAUGACAAGGAGAGAGUCAGAUUCAAAGUUAUGGUAUUAGUAUUUUUCUCCACUGUCAUGAUAAUUUAUACCCAUAUAAAUUAUUGCUUAGUUUGACUACCUCAUUCUUUUCCCAUUUAAUUCUUUAUUACAUUUAUUUCUUUACUUCAUGUAUUCAUGUAGAGAUCAUAGGACAUCUUUCAGGAGAUGGCCCUCUUCACUCUUUCUACAAUGUGGAUCCCAGGGGUUAAAUUCAGGAUGCCAGGUGUGGCAUCAAACAGCUUUACCAACUGUUCAAUCUCAUUACUAUCCUUGAUUAUCCUUAAUCAAAGUUUCAUUACUUUUUUUCGAAUGACCCUUUAAAUGUCAAUGAAUUGAAUAAAAGGAAACUUGCCUUUACUGUUGGGACAAUUCUCUGUAAUUGAUACAAACAUUAUAAACUUGAAAAGAAAGGCUUGAGUGACAAAUAGCAAACUUUUCAGGAGUUACAUGUCUAUCUGAUGUUUUAUUAGUCUUUAUAUUGCUGUAACCCAACCUGACAGAGUAAAUUAAGGGAGGAAAGAUUUAAUUUGUUAACAUGUUGAGAGGUCAGUCCAUCUUGGCAAGAAGAGUAUAGUGGAACAUGGAUGUUCAUGUCAAAAAGGCCAGGAAAUGGCAAUAGGGAGAACCUUGCAUAGCUCAUGGGAUAGUAGUGCCCAUGUCUAAGAUGGGGCACACAUAUACAGUUCAAACACACACACACACACACACACACACACACACACACACACACACACACACACGCAUCUCAGUUUCUUAGGUUAUUCUACGAUACACUCAUAUUGAUAAGAUGAACCAUCAUAGAUUUUAACCAAGAGAAUUUGUUUAAAAAUCUUAGUGCAAAACUUUUCUGAGCUGUAGACGCUGAACUAAGCUAUAUAAAAUAUUUUUAAAUAGAGCAGGUUAUGUGAUAAACUGUUAAGACACCAUAGAUUUAUUAUUGGGAAAAGAUUAGGAUAAAACUUUAAGUGGUCUUUCCCGUCACUGAUAAUUUCAUGUUUGUCACCACUAACCUUGUAAAUAGUGCAUAUGCUACAAAAUCAGCAGUCCUAGUUUGCAACACUCUCCUACUUAUAAAAUUCAGUUCCGAGCAACUUCUCCAAAAGCAAUGACAAUAAAAAUGCAAAGUAUUUUAUGCAUCUGUCUGUUUUAUGGUAUGUGGAUUCUAAACUCUGAAAAAACAAACAAUUUAAAGAACUAAGAAAGCCCAGAGGUGGAGGCACAUGCCUUUAAUCUCAGCACUCAGUAGGCAGAGGCAAGUUGAGUCCCAGGACAGUUAUUGCUGUUACACAGAGAAACCCUGUCUCAAAAAACCAAACUACUACUACUACUUCUACUAAUACUACUAAUACUACUACUACUACUAAUAAUAAUAUAACAAUGAAAGGAAGGAAGGAAGAAAUUAAGAAAGAACUGAGGAAGGCCUGUGAAUGACUCUCCUAGACAUGUAAAGAAUUGACUAGAACUGUGGAAGCACUGAGUACCCAGAGACACUGUCCUGUAGUGCUAGGUGGGUUAAUGGGUUCAGUUAAGCUAAUGGCCUAAGAACUUUCUUCAGUGCUUAGCCUUUUCCUUCAAGGCCCCUGCAGGUGUGUCUGCAGAGCAGCAAUGUCAGGAGUUUAACAACACAGUCCUUUUUUGUCUCAAGACAGCUGUUGUGAUUAACCAGACACACAUCACUUGCUGUGCCACAGCGGAAUGAGUUUGUGGUUCACUUUUGCUAAAUUAGUACCCACUGAGCACAGCAAAUAUUUAAAAUGUCAAUCCACUUGAUAAUGUCAGGGAGGCCUUCAAAUACUGCAAAAUGGCAUUGAGGAAUCAUUCCACAAAAGGGGCACAUAACAUCUCUCUACUUCAAAGGAAAAUGGGAGUUAAAUGGAAACAGGAAACCUCUGAUGGAGUUAGGAAGGCCAUCCAGUUUAAUAACUCUACCUGAAUCAUGAGUUUGUCACUCACUCUUUUGUCUAUUCUUACAUUCAGAAUAAGUGCUUGAACAUUGAUUCAAAUGCACUGCUGUGGUUGGAGAAUUCAUUUAUAUUAACACAAAAUUUGAAAGUUCUUACUACAAAAUCUAUGUGUCAUUCUCUUUCAAUCUACAGGUGUUUUGACCAAAACUCCAACACUACAUGAAAACUUCAAAUCAAGUAACAACUCUAGCUUUUCAUUAAAUAUUUAACUCCAAAGGGAAGUAAGGCAAGUAUAUCACAUUGUUGUAAAGUUUGAAAUAUUAGUGAGACUACAAACUAUUAAUCUAUAUUUAUUCUCAAUUUUCAGAAAAAGUCUAGCAAAUAAAAUGUCAUCUUUCUGAUACCUUGAUAGAGGGAGCCAUUAUAGGGUUAAUGAGAAACUUAGCACUAGGAAAAUUCUGAGGAAUCCACAGGAUGAUCCCAACUAAAAAUCCAAGAAAUUGUGGAGAGGGUAUCUUAAAUGCCCUUCCCCUAUAAUGAGAUUGAUGAUUAUCUUAAAUGCCAUAAUAGAGCUUUCAUCCUGUAGCAGAUGGAAGCCAAAGUAGAGAUCCACAGAUAAGCACUGGGCUGAACUCCUGGAGUCCUGUUGUAGAGAAGGAGUGGUGAGCAAAGGGGUCAAGACCAUGCUGGAGAAACCCAGAGACACAUCUAGGCUGAGCAAGUGGAAGCUCACUGACUCCUAAAGAACCAAUAUAAGACCAAUGUAGGCCCCCUGAACAUGGGUUUUAGUUAGAGGCCUUGGGCAGUAAAUGGGGCCACUGCCAGUGGAACCAAUAUUUAUCCCUAGUGCAUAAACUGGCUUUUAAGAGCCCAUUCCCUAUGGAGGAAAUACCUUGCUCAGCCUGAAUACAGACUGAGGACCUCAGUCCUGUCUGAAAUGAUGUGACAGACUUUAAUGAUUCCUCAUGGGAGGCCUCACCCCUCUGAGGAGUAGAUGGGGGAUUGGGAUGGGGAGAUGGGGGAGUGGGAAGACAGGAGGGAGAGGGCACUUGGAUUGGUAUGUAAAAUAAGAUUGUUUAAAAGAAAUCUUUCAAAAUCUUCUGUUAUGAAUUCAAACACAAAGAGUAGCUUAAUCUUGCUAUAUUUUGAUUUUCUUUGAAUUAUGUCUAUUGAGGUAUACUGAUUUUUUGUUAUACACAUUCAUACAAACACAUAUAUACAACCCACUAGUAUACACAACCAUAUACACCGCACUCAUACAUAUACAUAUAGAUGAUACAUAUACAUCACAUAUAUAAAUAGACUCUCAUAAUACAUUAUAUAUGCACAUAUAAACAUGUAGGUGUAUAAAUACACAUACAUAUAAACAUACCUCAUAUACACAAACAUACAUACACACGUAUUAAUAAAUUUUGCAAAAUGCUAACUGAGCUUCACAAACUAUCAAUUCAUUUCUCAAAGACUAUUCACAGGAAAGUGUUCAAAGUCAAUGAACUGAAAUAUUGUAGAACCUGCAUUCACUCUCCCACAUCAUAAAAGCAAACAAAAACUAGAAAACAAAACAAAAAACAACAUCAACAAACAAUACAAACAAACAAACGUCAAUGGGCAACUCUAAAAUAUGAAGAUAUUUAGGGCCAGGGAGCAAUCUCUGCCAUCCUCAGAGAAAACUGCCAAUGCCUUUUAAUUUUCCACUUUAAUCCUUACCUAUGGGGGUCAGGAAAGAGUCCUGAUUUCUUCUUAAAAUCUAGGAAUACAUUGCACACCAGGUUCCCUACUUCCUACUGGCAUAAAGUUAGUCACCUGACUACAUUUGAGUGUCGGUCUCAGAUAUAUGAUUUGCUUCAACCAGGAAGGAGAAUGCUUUUUAUUUCCUUAUCAUGUGAAACAUGACAUAUCUAUCAAAACACAGUGGCAGUUACAUAUGGAAAUGGGUGAGACUUUGAACUCAAUAUGGCAAAUGAAGUGGAAAAAUGUAUGAAUAGAAAACUCAAGAGAUGUCUUAUGCUGACAUGUGUAAAAUUCACAUAUAAAAGUUCAAAGUAAGUUUCGUAUAUUUCUGUCUGUAUCCAGAAUAAAAAGUUGCUUGUACUUGUUACCAUUUUUCUUUUAAUAAAAUAAUUUUCUCAUUUCAUGCUUCUAACCUUUCAAUGUAAAGAAGUUUAAAAGAUGGAGUCACAACAUAUAACUCAAAAAUCAAGUAGUAUAUAUAGUUAUUACUAGUAUGAAGAUGAUGGGAAAACCAUGACUGGAACAAAUGAAACUGAAUCACACUAGAUUUAGAAUACUAUUUUAUUAUUUUAUUUUCAGAGUUUAGGACCUUCCUGUUACACUUUUAAUUCUUACCUUGUUCAAUCAUCAUCAGCGAGGCUUCCUCAGGCAGCAGAUGGGAGCAGAUGCAGAGAACCCCCAGCCAGACAUUAUGCUUAGUGAACACCUAAAUUGGUGGUCUCAUUGGAGCUUAUGGAACUCUGGAGAAGAGAGGGAGGAAGGAUCAUAGGAGUCAGUGGGGAUGGAGAAUACCAAGAGAACAUGGCCUACUGAAUCAACAAGGCAAGGCUCAUAUGGACUCACAGAGAGUGAAAUGGCAAGCACUGGGCCAGCAUGGGUCUGAACCAGGUCUGUGUACAUGUUGUGGCUGUUGGCUUGGUGUUUUGUAGAACUUCCAGCUGUGGGGGAGGGUAUGAAUCUGACUCUUUGCCUGCUCUUGGGACUCUUUUCCUCCUACUUUUUUUUUUUUUUUUUUUUUACUAUGUCAAGCUUCAGUGUAAUGUUUCUUGCCUUGUCUUUCUGUAUUUUGAUUUGUAGUGUUUGGUCAUUGUCUUUUUGAGGCCUGCUCUUUUUGGAUGGUAGGAGUAAGCCAGGAGGAGUGUAGGGAGGGUAAACUAAGGUUCAGAUAUAUUGUAUGAGACAAAAGUCUAUUUUCAAUGAAAGGAGGGAAGGUAGGAAUAAAGGAAGGAAGGGAAAAAGAAAGUUAAAGAUGGCAUAAAGAAGAAAGGAAGGAAAACAAAUUUCCAAGCCCAUUUUUGUUCUGUUAAUUUCUUAACUAAAUGUUCUAUAAGGCAUGUUUUAUCCCAAUAAUUACAGAUGUUUUUCACAGACUCUUUAGUCCACUACUAAAUCCUGCUUUAAAAACACAAUUGUUGUAUUUGAAAAAACAUAACCUAAUUUCAUGUAACAUGACACAGUUAAAAUAGUGGGUGUGGAGACAUCAUAGAAAUCAAGCUGCGUUAAGUUCAUGCCAAGUAUUGUAUUCGAUGUGAUGCUGAGUGUUCAUUUAUCACUCUUCCUUGUGUCUCCAUCCCUGUAAUUAUUAAUCACUCAGCUGUCUUUCUGGGGUAUUUCUCUAUUUAUUCAUUAUCAUGCACCAUUUUCCAGUCUGUUAUUCCAACAUAAUGAUUCAGAUGCAGUCAGCAACAUCGAAUAUGCUCUCAUAUUUUAGAAUUGUUAAUUCUUCUUAAUUGUAAAUCAAAAUCCCAGCAUGAUACUUAUUGUAAUGGAGAUGGGCAGCUCUUUGUUAUCACCUAAGGCUGAAGGUACAGGGAGUUCAGUUACAAGGGGAAACUAUAUGUAGACUGGGGUUUUUAUGUGGGUCUUGUAAUUAUUUUAAGCAUAUGCAUGAUAUAGCUACUUUUAUAUUUUUGGGAAAAAACCACUCCAUUUACUCUGGGGUGAUGCACCAUGGAAUAGCUUGUGAUGAUUCAGAAAAAUGAGGUCCUUACUUCUGUACUUUAUAUGAUAAGGUAUUAUAUCUUGGACUAUAGGGACAGCGUCAGAAACAACUCCUGCUUCACAUAUAACACAGACUUCUGACUUUGCCAGUGUCGUUGAAACUGACAGUGCUCAGAACCAAGCACAAGUGUCACUGAAUACUUCGGUGUGAUGUCAGGAAGAGAGGUGCAGUUUGGGGGUAAUAUACUGUGAACCCCUUGUGUAAAGGUGCACUCUAAGUCAUAGCAGAGGAAAUGGAAGGAAGGGGGUAUUUUUCUUUUUUUAUAUUUAUUUGAAUUACAAACAAGAUUGAAUUACAUGACAAUCCCAGUUCCCUUCUCCCUCCCUUCCUCCCCUAUCACCCCCCCAAAAGUCAUGAGGGAGCAGAAAGGUUGAGUCAUGGGGUAUUUUCUUUUUAAAUACUGAAAUUCCUAAUUUUUAAUGGUUUGAAAAUGGAACAUGAGCUUUCAGGAACCUAUAAGAAGGCAGGAAUGUAUGAGGAAAGAAACAGGAUUGAAGGUGGUGUUAUGCCAAUUAAGUGAUAACAUGUAACAUUUAGAGAUGGAGACAUUCACAGUAUCAAAAGUUUUUGAAAAUUCUUUCAUGAUAAAUAAUAAAAUGUCAAGAAAAUUUAAAGAUAGUGUCAUUUCAAACCACACUGUAAUGAAGUAAUACAUACAAAAUUUCUGGAAGAAAUUAUUGACAGGAAUGAUACACGAUUUCUUUGCAAAAUUUGCCUGUGAAAUGAUAAUGAGAGUAGAAUGGUUUGGAUAGACCACUGUAUUCAUCAUCUUUGCUAAUGUUCUGGUUGAUAUACCUUGAAAUACUUGAUUAUGGUUACAUAUUACAACAAGAAAAUGGAUUGAUAAAAGCAAGAGUACUGAGUAAUUCAGAGAGAAUAUAUAAAAAUUAUGAGGUGUAAAAUGUAGGUAGAAAAGCAGAAUCUAUAUGUACUUUUAUUAUUAGGGAAGAAAGGUGAAAAGAUUAAUGUGUUAGUUUACAUUUCAGUAGUUGUGGUAUUUUAUGUUUGUAUUCUGAUGAUUACCAGUUUGUUUGAAAAUCAGGGACUUCACUCUAGGUGAUGGAAGGGGAUGGAAAGUUAGAAACAUCACUUGCUGCAUGCAGGAAAACAUUAUUCCUCUUAAGGAAACAACCAGAGAAACUCUUAUUUCUUCUGAAGGGACACCUCCCUCAGCAAAUAUCAAUUAUCAUUAAAAUAACAAAAAUCACAAAACCUCAACAACAUGUGAUGUUACAAAAUAUUCACUAUAAGAUGGACACCCUUGAAUUGCUCAUAUCUGAGAUGAAACCAAUUUGAUAUUUAGAAUAAGAAAAUUUCCCUGUCAGUAAGUAUAUUUUCCUUUCACUUUGCUAGCAUAGUAUUUCAACUACUUUCAGAUGUGUUUAGAACAAUACCACUUCUUUUUUUCAAAGGCCUUGUAAGUUAAUUACUGAAAGCCUGGUAUUCAGACAGAGACCUCAGUGUGUAUGGUAAGUACUAUAUUGUCUGAGGUUGUCAAUGGAUCAUUUACUUAGAUGACAACCACCAUAAUUAUUUUUAAGUAAUUUUUUUUAAAUUAGAAACAAGCUUGUUUUACAUGUCAAUGCCAGUUUCCUCUCCCUUCCCUCCUCCCCUGAUCCCACCUGACCCUCUAUCCUAUCCCCAUUCUGCUUCCCCGGGAAGGUGAAAUCGUUCAUGGGGGAGUCUUCAAAGUCUGUCAUAUCAUUUGGAGCAGGGCAUAGACCCUCUUCCUUGUGUCUAGGCUGAGAGAGUAUCCCUCUAGGUGGAGUGGGCUCCCAAAGACAUUUCAUGUACUAGGGAUAAGUACUGAUCCAUUAUAGAGGUCCAAUAGAUUAACCAGCCCUCCAAACUCACAUCUUCUUUCUGGUUUCCCAUCUUCUAUGCUGAUUUCCCAGCAAUCAGUCUGGGGUCCAUAAGAUCCCCCUUCUGCAGGUCAGCUGUUUCCAUGUGUUUCUCUAGCCUGGUCUUGAAUUCUUUGCUCAUCACUUCUAUCAUUCUGCCACUGGAUUCUAGUGACACCUCAGUGUUUAGCAAUGUGUGUCUGCUUCUGCUACCAUCAGCUACUGGAUGAAGGUAUUUGUCAAUCUCAUUACCAGAAAGGGGCAUUAAAGAUAGCCUGUCAACUAUUGCUGAGAUUGUUAGUUGGGGUGAACCUUGUAGAUAUCUGGACAUUUCACUAGUUCUAGAUUUUUUAAACCUAUAAUAGCUCCCUCUAUUAUGGUGUCUCUUUUUCUUGCUCUCAUAUAUUCUUCUGCUCACUCGAUCUUCUUGUUCUCUGAUGUCCUCCUCUCCCAUCCUCUUCUCUCCUUCUCUUUGUCUGAACUGUUUAGCUGCUCCCCUCAUGGGCCCACUUAUAUCAGAAGAUAUUGUCCCUUUCCCCUUCUCCAGGGGGCCAUGUAUGUCUCUCUUAGGGUCCUCCUUGUUUCCUAGAUUCUCUGUCAGUGUGGACUGUAGGCCUGGUAAUCCUUUACUCUAUGUCUAAAACCCAUAAUGAGUGAGUAUAUACCAUGUUUGUCUUUUGUGACUGGAUUAUGUUACUCAGGAUGUUUUCUUCUAGUUCCAUCCACUUGCCUCUGAAUUUCAAGUUUCCAUUGUUUUUUUUUUUCUUUCUAUCUGAGUAGUACUCCAUUGUGUGAGUGUACCACAUUUUCUCCAUCCAUUUUUCCAUUAAAGGGCAUCUAGGUUGCUUCCAGGUUCUGGCUAUUACAAAUAUUGCUGCUAUGAACAUGGUUGAACAUAUAUCCUGGUUGUAUGAAUGUUCAUCUUUUGGGUAUAUGCCUAAGAGUGGAAUUGCUGGAUCUUGUGGUAGACUGAUUCACAUUUUUCUGAGGAACUGCCAUACUGAUUUCCAAAGUGGCUAUAAGAGUUUGCAUUCCCACCAGAAACUGAGGAAUUUUGCCACAUCCUCCACAUCCUCUCUAGCAUCCUCUCCAGCAUAAACUGUCAUUGGUAUUUUUGAUUUUAGCCACUCUGACAGGAGUAAGAUGGUCUCUCAGAGUGGUUUUCAUUUGCAUUUCCUUGAUGGGUAAGGAUGUUGAGCACUUUCUUAAGUGUCUAUCAGCUAUUUUAGACUCCUCUAUUGAGUAUUAACUAUUUAGUUCUGCACCCAACUUUUUAAUUGGAUUACUUGGUAUUUUGGUGGCUAGCUUCUUGAGUUCUUUGUAUAUUUUGGAACUCAGCCCUCUGUCAGAUGUGGGGUUGGUGAAUAUCUUUUCUCAUUUUGUGGGCUACUGUUUUGUCUAAUUCACUAUGCCCUUUGCUUUACAGAAGCUUCUCAGUUUCAGGCGGUCCUAUUUAUUAAUUGUCGAUGUCAGUGUGUGUGCUACUGGUGUUAUGUUCAGGAAGCAGACUCCUGUACCAAUUGGUUCCAGGGUACUACCUACUUUCUCUUCUAAGACAUUCAGUUUUGCUGGAUUUAUGUUGACGUUCUUGAUCCAUUUAGACUUAAGUUCUUUUGGUUUUCUUUGUUUCUUUCUUUUUUUAGGUUUUGGGGACCGAGUUUCUCUGUAUUGGAUUGGAGCCUGCCUGGGAUCCCCUGCUGUAGACCAGGCUGGAUUUGAACUCACAGAGAUCUACCUGCCACUGCCUCCUGAGUGCUGGGAUUAAAGGUAUGGGUGUGUUCCACCAAUGCCCGGCUCUGGACUUAAGUUUUCUGCAUUUUGAUAAGUAUGGAUCUAUCUGCAGUCUUCUACACACCAGAAUCCAGUUAUGCCAGCAACAUUUGUUGAAGAACAUUUCUUUGAAGCUUUCAUCACUGAGCUCAUCCUUCAGAUUCAUACUCAGUAUGUUCAGGGGACUCGGCCAAGAUCUCUCUGCCCUUGCUGAUCCAGAUUCACAAUGUUCAAGCAAAGAUUGCUGCUCUCAGACAUGGUCCCAGACAAGAAGAAAAAUAACUCAUGUGGAUUUAGAAGAUGUUUGUUGGAGCAUAAGAAGAGAAACAAGAGUAGAAAAGAAAUAACUAUGAGGUGAUAACACUGUUCAGAAAAUUUAACACUGAUGACCAGGUGGUACAAAUAUUUAUGAUAAUAACCCCUGAAUUGUAUACUUUAAUGGGUGAAAUGUAUGAUAUGCCUUAUAUAUGAAAAUUUUUAAAUUAUGAAAGAGGAUAUAAAAUAUGCUUAUAAAAUAUACUACACAUACCAUAUUAUAAUAACAAAUUCCAUAAGGUCCCAAACAGCAUAAUUUUUCAAACUACACAUGAAUAGCUAAAGUAAAGCCACAUAUUACACAUUCUUAUGAUUGGAAAAGAAAACUGAAGCCAAAAUAAUAAUAAUGAAAUAAUUUAUAUAGUAUUGUACAAUAAGUAACUAGAUAAAAUUACAUAUUUUUUUCUUAAUUUAUGUAAAAUUUAAUAUCUAGGGUUGUCUCUAACUUAAGAUAUUUUCUACUUCGAACACUGCAUAAUUUGUUUACAUGAUAAUAUUAUUUUGUAGCUUUCAUUAGCUGAAAGUCACUUGGGUAUACUCAUUUGUUAAAAUUCAGUAGUUAUAUAUUUAUAACAUACGUGCUUUUACUCUGUAAAUGACUGUGCACAUAAAUAAAAUGAUUAAAAAGUGUUUAUGGAGAUCAUUCUAUUUUAUGAACUGACCUUUUGCCAUCUUGUGUCAGAAUUUAUCUCUUUAUUGCUUCCCAUCCUAUUUAAUGUUCUUAGCCACAUUUUAUCAAUAGCUUUUUAGUCAUUUAUAAGUAUUGCAUAAUGCUUGCAACUAUUUUCAAUGGGAUAAUAUUUUUCCUUUUAUGUUUCUAACAAGUUAUUAAAAUUAUGGAUAAAGCAUUCACUUUUAUAUCUCAAUCUGAUGUAUAGCCAAUUUUCCAAAGUCUUAUUAAUUUUAAUAAAUUAUCUCAGUUUUCUUGUAUUGCAGCUAUAUGUUUUGAGACUGAAGAGUGGUGUAGCUGGGAUUGAUUUUCAUUAAAUGUGUGCAUGAUAACACUGCAGACUGGCAACACGGGAGAUGCUGGAACCUCUAGAGGGAACUUCCUGGUGGGAACUUAUUAGGUUCCUGGGGAAAAUGUUUUGGAAGUCACUUGUGUUCAUCUGUUUCUAGAUCUUAGGCCUCUGAUCCCUGUAUUCAAAGAAACUGUUUAAUCUCCCCUGCAUUUCCACACUGACAUGUUGUUCUUUCCAGUCCCCAGGUAAGUGGUCCUAGACAUGAAGAAUUUUUGAAACUUUAAAUGUAAAUUAACCUCCUCACAAAUUACCUCAUGUAUUUUAAUUGUGUCAGGAAGCUAACAAAUAGUAAUGGGAUUUUUAAAAUUAAUUUAUUUUACUUCUUGUAAUUGCAUUCUAUUUUUACUUCAUUGUCCAAUCUAAAGUUUUACAAGUAAAAUCUUAACUGUCAGUGUUAUAAAUUCUGUUUUUGUUGUUGUUGUUAAAUGUGAAUUUUGUUUUAAAAAAACUGUUUGUUGUUGAGUGUUGACAUUUAUUAUAUUCUCUGUGUAAUUCCCUUACAUUUUAUUAUUAAUGGCUACUGAGUUGUGUUUGAUUAUUUGAAUCAUUUACUGACUUAACUAAAAUUAUUUCAUUAAUAUGUAUUCAUCAAACUCGCAUAGAUUCCUGUAUACUGUGAUUACAGUGGCAAGUUAAUCCAGACAUGUAUGCCAGCAACAAGUAUUUUUAUAUUAUGGCACAAAUACUGUGGAUUGUUUUUCCAGGUGUAUAAAAGAUAAAAUGAUUGAUGACAUGAAUUUCAUGAUAUUUUAGGAAGGAAAUGUUGCUAAUACAAUGACCCAAAUGUAGAGCAGAUUACAUAUAUUGUAGCACAAAAAAAUGAAAGACCCAGAAACAGAUAAUGGGACUCAAGCUUCAAUAUGAAGAUCAGAGAAACAAAGCAGCCAAGUCAGGUGAUCUAACUUCUACCAAGCUGAAAUGGCAAUCCUUUCUCCAUGAUUCUUUAGAUGGAGGUUCUGUUCCACUUGGUCCCACAGCCAUUUAGUCCCAAAUAAACACACAGAGGCGUAUAGUAAUUAUAAGCUGUUUGGCCGAUGGCUCAGUCUAGCUCUCCCUUAAAUAUUAACCAAUUUCUAUUAAACUAAGUAUUUCCACAUAGUCUAGGCUUACCUGAGAAUGCCUGGACUUGUUACUCCUUCGGCAGCUAUAUGGCAUCUCUCUAGAAGCUCACUCUUUAUGUCCUUUUCCCAGAAUUGUCCUCAUGGGGGAGCCUGGCCUAUCUUUCCUGCCUGGCUACUGGCCAUUCAGUGUUUAAUUCAUCAACAAAUAAGACAAACAUAUACUAGCAGAAUACAGAAGGACAUCCCCUAUUACAAAUCCUCAAAGGCAAAAGCUCUCAGUUCCUGUCUCCUCCUGCCUCUUAUUCCUUUUUCCACCUAGCCAUAUCAUUCCUGUCUAUACCUCCUUAGUGCUGGGAUUAAAUGCAUGUGAUCCUGGGUGCUGAGAUCAUCUUUGUAUGAGCUGUUUCUUUUAGGACUGGAACAAUUUCGUGCAGUCAGCAUGGCCUUGAACCAACAGAGAUCCUUUUACUUCUUAAUCCUGAGUCAAGGGAUUAGAGGUGUGUAAGACCACUGCCUAGCUCUAUGGAUGUCAGAUUAAACAUAUUAUCACUGCCCGAUCUGAACCCCCAGUCAAACUUUAUUAAAUAAUAAAUAAUAUAUCACCACAAUAUUUACAUAGUGAGCUGAAGGAAUGUUUGUGCAGAUAACUAGAGUGGGUAGGGAAGAUAUGUUCAAAGGAGAUAUAUGGAGACUUGGUCGGCCCAAAUCAUAUAUCCCAUGUGAGUUAGGGUGCAGUGAAUUAUGCAAAUAUGCUGACAAGUGCUGAGACACCCUUAAUUCUCCUAUAAUAAACUUUCUUUUGGUGGAUUAUUCAGAUAGUACACACCAAGAUUCCUUUAAUAUUAACUUACGUAUCUUGAUGAAGAGCAAUGAUAAAUACUUUUUGAACAGGAUUUCUGAGUUUUGAUUUUAUACUCCCUUUAGUUUACAGAAUUAAAAGGUUCAGGUGUUUUUUUAUAUGAACAGAUGAAAAGCUCAUCCUUUUGAGGACUGGUUAGGUGAGAUAUGCCAUUGAAAAGCCUCUCCCCCUGAAAGGCUGCAUGGACUUAUCAACCCUCCAUUAAAUUUUCACAUGAUCAAUAAGUCUAAUUCUUACAAUGUAUAUUCUCUUUAUUUGUGUGCUUAAUUAUUUUACAUUAUCCUAGAGUUUUCGAGAUUUUGCCAGUCAAUCAUCAAGUAUGUAAAGAUAUCAAAAAUCUUGCUGGGCACUGGUGGCAGAUGCCUUUAAUCCUAGCACAAGGGAGGCAGAAGCAGGCAGAUCUCUGUGAGUUCAAGGCCAGCCUGGUCUCCAGAGGAAGUGCCAGGAUAGGCUCCAAAUCUACACAGAGAAACCGUGUUUCAAAGCAAACAAACAAACAAAAGUCAAAAAUCUUUCUUUAUUGAAGUGACAGGGUAUUGAGCCUCAUAAACUAAUGUUAGUUUUAAUCUUCGUGACUGUAAUUGUAUAUACUUUUCAGUGUAAUGGGGCUAUUAGCUAUUUCUUUGUAAAUUUCUACUUUCUAAAGUGUCUCACUAUAUUAUUUUCAUUAUAUUUAUUACUUUAUAGUUUUGGAAAGUUUGCUAAAAAACCUCUAUUCUGAAAAAAACGUGUCAACUUCAUGUUUUAAAAAUCCAUCUGUUUUGUUCUUGUUUCUCUUUACCUUAAUUUGAAUUUAUUGUUGAAUUAAUUAUAAAUUAUUUUUCUAAUUUAUGUACAUAUUCACUUUCAUUUCACACACACACACACACACACACACACACACACACACACACACACACACACACACAAACUUGGUUAGUAGUACCCUUUAAGUUUUGUCAUGCUAUCUUCUUGAUUUUCAAUAUGUCAGUCAGAGAUGCUAUUUUGUUAUCUCCUAAUGUCAUGGUAAUUUUGUUUUACAACAUUGUGUGUUUAUGAUUAUCUAAUAUUUUAAACUGUAAAAUUUAAAUUCCUUUUGGAUUGAUAGAAGAGAUCUUCGGUAUAGUGAUUUCUGCUUGGAUGUACAAGCACUAUGAACCAUUUUAUAAAUAAAUGAUUAAAUUACAGUUUGAUAUAUGUUAAUUCAUGAGAAAAUUUAAAGAACAUUGUAUUAUCUUGAAUAUAGUUAAUCAUGCAGAAGUAUUAAAUGAGUGUAGACAUUGAAGAGAGGAAGCUGACAAAGGUAGAUUAAAAUGGAAACUACUUUCAUAUCUCUUUCAUUGCCAUAAUAUUUUAAUUCUUUUCUAAAAUUUUGAAACUUUAAGAAUAAUUGGUAACCUCUAAUACAUAUUGAAGUGGAAAUAUAUUCAGGGUAAAAACUCAAAGAAAAUGAUUACAUAGUUAUCAAUAUUAAAUCCUAUUUUAACUGUCAUUCUUGGAAAACUUAGAAAAAAUAGACAUUCACAGCUCCUAUUGAGAAAAUUACUUAAUUUUUUAUUGAAAUCCUUAAUUUUAAGACCUAAAAUUACAAGCUAAAGAGCUCCAUAUGCAAAACCACAUUUCAGUUUGAAAUAACUAAAAACUCACGCAAUAAUAAAAUGAAUUAACCAGUUAACAAUGAAUUUAGAGAAAAGAAAAUACAUUUACUGAAUUAACAAAUGCAGCAUAAUUGCAAGCAAUCCAUGCAUACUUACACUGUGCUGAUUGCACGUAGAUUAUAUGAUUUAACAUGAAAAUAAUCUAAUACAAUAGUUAUUAAUACCUGAAUUUAACAAAGCAAAAUGGAAAGCACAGAAGUGCUUUACAAGUUUGCUGUUUUUCAACCAAGUCAAGCUGUCUCCUAUUAUAUCUGUUCAAGCAAUAUCACCAAUGCUAAAGCACAACUUGUUAAAUACGGGAAUUUUAUAAUGUUUUAAAACAGAAGCUAAUCCUGUGAAUACAAUACCUGUAUUCAUGAAUUUUAUUAUGUUUUCAACAGUACUGGAGGGGAAAUCCAGGGCCUCCCAUGUAUUAGGCAUGUGUUCUGCUGUAUCAGGUCCUCAGCUCCUGGCUAUUUUCUUUUAAUUAAUGAAAGUUAUUUCCUAAAAUAAAAUAAUAAAAAUUCAUUCACACUUUUCUCACCUUUAUUGUGUGCCAGAAUCUUUGUAAACACAUAUUGGUUUAUUGAUAUUUUUCCUAAGAAAGAAAAGUGACAAUUGCGGUUACUUAUCAUGUUGAUUCUCUUGUGGUUAUAGAUGAGGAAUUUGAGGUACACAAAGUUAAAUUUCUUGUGUAUGGUUUCAAAUCAGGUUAAAACAGCUAUCAGGUAGCAGAUACUUUUGGAGAAUGGAAUUAAAACAGUAGGAGUAAUAUAUAAAAAUUCUGUUUAUUAUCUCUUCUUUUUAAUAUGUAUUACUAAGUUUCAAGUGUCCAUAAUAUGGGUCUUUCCUGAUAAGCCUGUCACAGUCAUUUCAAAUGUUUCCUGCUCUAACCAUUAAAAAGAGACUAUCCAUUGGAGUCAGCUGUCCAAUGUCAGCCCAAUGGAUUAAAGUUGUGUUUCUGAAAGCCACUUAAUAUUAACAGAGAAUAAAGAAAAAAUAUUAUCCACAAAUAGAGUCAAGGAUAAUAAACCUGAACUAUUAUAGAGGAAAACUAUAAUAGUUUUGGGAACUAACAAAGACCCUGCCAUGGGUGGGAUGACCUGCGGUUGUGUUUGAUUCCAUGGCAGAUGCUCUUUGUAGAUAAUCUGCACUUUUAGGUGACAAGCUGUUGAAAUUUAUCUAUUUACAAUGAACUCAAAGUCUGAUAAGAAUUAAAAAGCUGUCUUUAAGUGGUUGGAAAGCAAAUUCAAUGAAAUGUUAAUCAUUAAUUUUACCAUGGCAUUCAUAUAAUUUCUUAAGCUUUCUUCUACUGAAUAUACUCUCUAUAGAAAUCAAUAAAGACUUCUAAAUAAUUUGAAAACCCACUGUUUUUCAUUUUAUGUGUUGAUGUGAGUGUAUGCAUUUAUGUUUGAGCACCAUGCACAUGUCUGGUACCCAAUAAGGAUAAAAGAAGUUGUCAAAUCCCUUGGAACUGGAGUUACAGACAGUUGUGAGAUAUGUGGGUGCUGGCAACCAAUGAAGUUUUUCAUGAAAGCUGAA